UUAAAGCAAGCAAGAAUCUAGAAGGAAUUGAAUAAAUAUAUAUACACAUAGAGUUGAGCUAGAAUACUCUCAAAAUCACCAAUAGGGUGGUGCUUGUGAGUUUUUAAUCAUUGGAUGGAGAGACGUAGGGUUGAGAUGAUGGUGGUAGGUGGUGGUAGGUGGAAUAGUAUUUGAUCCAAGGGGUAUUAUUAGUAAUUAAGGAGUAGAUCCAAGGGCUGGAAACUUAGAAGCACCAAGGGAUUGGUGCUUCUAAAAGGAUUCUAGCUCAAUUAUAUAUAUAUAUAUAUAUAUAUAUAUAUAUAUAUAGAGUAGAGCUAGAAUACUUGUAAAAGUAUCACCCAAGUGAUACUUGUGUGUUUUUAGCCCUUGGAUGGAGAGAUGUGAGGUUGAGAUGAUGGUGGUAGGUGGUGGUAGGUGGUGGUAGGUGGAAUAGUGUUUGAUCCAAGGACUAUUAAUAAUCAAAAAGUAGAUCCAAUGGCUAAAAACACACAAGUAUCACUUGGGUGAUACUUGUAAAAGUAUUCUAGCCCUACUCUAUAUAUAUAUAUCUCUCUCUCUCUAUAUGCGCGCAUAUAUUAAUAGUAUAAAGAAGUUUCGAACAAACAUUUUGAGAAUGUGUAUGUGGAUAGCUUUACACCGUUAAACGAGAAAACGCUUCAUAUCGACCAUUAAAAUUACAAAUUUUGAAACCCUUUGAUCAUUAGGUCAAUGAUGUCAAAAAGAUUUGAAAUUUGAUUUCUAAAUACUUCAAAUGAUAUAGAUCAUGUUCAACGGUGCUGAUCGUCGAUUUGAAGGCUCCAUCAUCGAAAACAAGUGGAUGGCAACGGAGUCCGUUUGCUACCGAUAGCAUUCCAGCUCAACUCUCUCUUUCUCUCUCUCUCUCUCUCUCUCUCUAUCUAUAUAUAUAUAUAUAUUGGAUUAAAAUAUUAUUAAUAGUAUUUGAAUUUUUUUGCUAUUGAGUUUUUAAUCUUUGAAUGAAAAAUUAUAAGGGCUAGGAUGAUUGUGGUUCCCUAGGAUUUAAUAGUAGUCCCUCUAGAACUGAGUGAGUAGUUGGUUGAAUAGUAUGAUUUAAGAAUGAAAUUCAUUAAAGUGUAGAUUUAAUAGCUAAAAAAUCGAUAGUAAAAGAGCAUAAAUACUAUUAAUAGUAUGAUUUCUCUCUCUCUCUCUCUCUAUAUAUAUAUAUAUAGAGAGAGAGAGAGAGAGACUGAAAUGUUAUAAUAGCACCAAGUUAUUGGUUCUAUUAGAUUUUCGGCUUUUGGACGAAGGAUGUACGGUUAUAAUGACAGUGAUCUUCUAGGGUUGAGUGGGUGGUUGGUUGAAUAGUAUGAUCUAACAGAUAAAAAUGAUCAAAUGAGUAAAUUUAAUGAUAGAAAACUCGAUUACAUCAAGUACUUAGUGCUAUUAGAAACACCACUAUUGGACUCUCUCUCUCUCUCUCUCUCUCUCUCUCUCUCUCUAUAUAUAUAUAUAUGUUUGUGUAUAUAAAGUAAGUAUAAUUCAAGCUUAGAAGGACCAAUUUUCAAAUCACGUUAUGUUCUUUGUCAUAAUUAGAAAUUAAGGCUAAACUUUACAAAAUUUACUUUUGCACUUUGGCCCUUGUCUCAAUUAUACGCGAUUUAAAAAUUUAUCUCAAUUUGAACCAUGCACUUUACUACUGUUUCGAAUAGGUCCAGAAAUUUAGAAGGAUCAUUGAAUUUGGAUGCAAUCAACUAAAGCUGUAAUUUAUUCAAUUAAUAUUUUUCAUAUUUUAGUAACUAUGACAAUGGUUAUCUAUCUAAUCUUUCUCAUAAAAGUUUGGCCAAAAUACAGAAAAUCCUCUUGUAAAUACCUGUCUUUUCAUUUUUCCUUCCCAACUUUCAAAAAUCUAUAUUUUGCCUUCCUUAAAAUUUCAGAAAUAUUUUUAGAGGGGUACGGUGUUAAUAGAGAGGGCAAAAUAACCAAAGUACCCUUACUUCUUCUAUAAGGAAAAAUAUAAUUUUUUAAUAUGUUUCUCUUAUUUUAAAGGGCAUUUUCAAAAUAAAUUAUAAGAAAUGAGCGAAAUAGUGAUGAAACCUAAUGGAAGGAGGCUAAAUGCAGUAAUUUGAAAUAUUGAAGAGGUAAAAUGUAGAUUUUUGAAAGUUACGGAGGGAUAGUAAAUAAGCAUGCAUUUAUAAGGAGAUUUUUUGUAAUUUAGCCUAAAAGUUUUACACCCAAUUUUAUCAAUCUUCAAAAUAUUUUGCACCUAUUUUACACAGGGUGGGAUUUAAAUUAAAGCAAAAUUUUAUACCAAGAAGUAAUUGAGACAUGAGAUAAAGUAUAAUGUAAUACUAGUUAAAGUAUCUUCACAAUGGCGUAUAAUGUAAUACUAGUUAAAGAACCCGCGCGAGGCGGCGGGUAGACAUUAUUAUAACUAGAUUUUCACCCGUGCGAUGCACGGCUAAUAUAAUAAUAUAGAAUAAUAAAAAAUAUUAUUUGAUGAUAACAAAAAGAUUUUCUAAUUAAUUUUAUAUUUUUUAACAAAUAAAAAAAUAUACUAUCAAUCUUAAUUAUAGUACAUAUUAAAGUAUACAAGCUAGAGAAAAAAAUUUUUGGACCAAACUAAAUAUUCAACUAAAAUGCAAAAUUCAAUCCUGCUCAAUUAUCUAUGAAUUGGUGUGCAAAACAAUUUACAUUUACAUAUUGAUGUGCAAAAUAAAAUGAUAACUAAAAUUGAUAUGAAAAAUUACAAAUGAUAUUAAUAUUUAAGUGUCACGCCCCGGAUUACUCGUUCUCUGGGCACGCCGACAAAUCCGCUGUCACGCCCCGGAUUACACUUUCCCCGGGCGCGUCGACAAAUCCGCUGUCACGCCCCGGAUUACACUUUCCCCGGGCGCGCCGACAAAUCCGCUGUAUACAAAGGAAUUUCUCCUGUAUACGAAGCGAUAGAUGUACCUGUAAAUCAAACACUACUACGAACAGUAGUAGAGAGCUGCUAGAGAAAACAGAAGCUAAACAAACUGAGUUUCAUAUACAUAGUCCAAAUCCAAAAUACAAAGCUACUCGCACUGGCGAGUUAAGUCCACUAUGUACAUAAACUCGAAACAAAAUAUCUACCUGCAGUAGGGGCACCUUUAGCUCAGCACGUCGGGUAGGGCUCUAACUCGCGACGCCCUUGUCUCGAUCCUGAACUGCGGAAGGCGCAGCAGCCGAAACCUGUGGCUCUGCAAAACAGGGGUAACAACUGGGCGUGAGAACUACUGUAAAAACAAGUAGUCCUCAGUGGGUACCGCCCAAAACAACAUCGGUCCACCCACUAAGUCUACAGAAGGGAGCAGGAAUAGUAGUAAAAUGCAGGAAUAAAGUCUACCGCUAUCAAACACUACACUAUCAUGCUCUACACUAACCAACUGUAGGAAAUGUCCAACCUGACCCAAUCCAAUCGGGACUGUAAGCAUACCCGUCCCCGGGACUGUGAAUACACCCGUCCCUGCCCCGUUGCGACUAUCGGGCUCUAUCCACACUAACUGGUCCGUGGAGAGCAAGUCCAACUGGCAUGAGCGACACCAACGCGAAAGCACAAAGCCUGACUCCGGAGUGGCACUCGUGGGCGCUACCCAACCGAGUAUGCAGCGUAUCUCUGUCGAGCUCAAACAGGCUCCAACUAGCCAAAGUCAAGUGAACAGGGUCAAAACAGGUCUACAAACCAAACCCACGUGCCCUCGGCACAAUCUGUGACCAAAACAAGAAUCUGGGUCCACCGCUAACCCGAACGGCACCCAACGACCCGAAACAGCCUAAACUCUGCUGAAAAAUAAGCUCGGCACCCCAGCACGAGCGUAAAUGCCUUCUAAACUACCCCAGGUAUCCAUCGCACUGAUACUGCAACGAUACAAUCGAAUCACGGCUCCUAGAGCUAAAUCUGGUAGUUUAAGCAUAUGACGGGUCAAAACGCAGGUUUUCUCCUAAGUCAAAUUUCAAGUCCAACAUGUAUAAUUUAAAUAUUCAUUUCAGCAUGCUUCUACAUUCAUAUUACAUUCAAGAUGCUAAUCGAUGAAUUAAAGCAUGAUAUACAAAAAUCGAACUAUACACGUCGACUAAACAUGCACUUAGGAGCGAAACCGAUGAUACACCCACCUCUAGUGCAAUUCCUGGCAGCAAGAUGGUCUCGGAUCACAAGCAACACUGCUGGAAACACCUCCAAACCAGCAACAAAGCCCCUCAAGAUCUGGAUUUACAAUUCACCCAAAAAUCCAAUAAAAACCAUCAAUUUACCAAAAUUUCAGCACUUAAGCUUAAUUAUCUCAAUUCCAAUGUCAAAACUCACCUAAUGAUCUCCAAAUCGGGUGAGGACAGAUCCAAAUCUAGCAACUACUGAUGGGUGAUCAAUCUCAGGUCCAAAAUCCCACUGUCUAUAAAGUUAGCAUCAAGAAAAGCUCAAAAAUUCCAAUUUCAGCUCAAAGUCAACAGCAGUCCAGAAAAGACUCAGUUCGACCAAGCUAACCUCAACCAAAAUCUGCAAUUCAGGGUUUCGUGGAUUCCUCUAGAAGUCUAGAAUCCAGCAAACUAAGUUUCGUCAAAAUCCGACCUUCCUACGUCGCGCACGAGCCAAAACACUGAAGGUCGUCGCUGAAGAACUGCAGAAUCAGCACUCCAUCAAGCUGGAUCAAUGGAAAUUUGAUGCAAAUUGAGGCAAAUCCGAGGGUAGAGAUGCUAAAAGGGACUUCUCUGUGAAGAAAGGAGGAAAAGAGCUCACCAGGGUCACCUUCCAUUUAUUUAUAGGCUGCUGGAGAGAUAAGAUAAGCCCCAAGAGAAAACAACUGCUAUCCAGUACUCAUGCAGAAACGGGCAUUUCUGGGCGCCCGGAACCAUGUUGUGGGCGACGAGAACAUCCCGACUGCACAAACCGGGCUCCUCGGACUCUCCGCUCGCGGUGUGCUGCGCCCGUAAAUGGCUCCGGCGGAACUCACCUACCGCCUGCCACGCGUCGAAGCAAGCGAUAUUCACGAUGUCGAAUUUCCGGAUCCACAUCUGGGCGCCCGGAACAUGGGAUCCGAAUUGGCUUCCAGUUUCAGUUAAAUUCAACACUCAUUUCUGGGCGACCCUAAAAAUGUUCUGGGCACCCGAAUCUGGCAAAACUCCAGUUUUGCUUAUUUGAGUGCGCUGAGUCCAAUUCUGCAUCCAAUUCGUGCAGAAUUGACUCCGACUCAGUCCGACACUCUCCAGAGAUGUCGACCAGUCACUAAUACUGAAGCCAACCCUAUCCAAAGCUCAGGAACACUACAUCCGCCGUAUACAAAGGAAUUUUUCAUGUAUACGUAGUGAUAGCUGUACCUGUAAAACAUACAAUACUACAAACAGUAGUAUAGAGCUGCUAGAAGAACCAGUAACUAAAAACGAACUGAGUUCCAUAUACAUACAUCAAAUCCAAAAUACAAAACUAUUUGCACUGGCGAGUUAAAUAACAGUACGUAUAUGAACUCCAACAAAACAACUACCUGUAGUAGGGGCACCUCUAGCUCGGCUCGUCGGGUAGGGAUCUAACUCGCGACGCACUUGCCUCGAUCCUGAUCCGCAACAGCAGCAGCCGAAGACGUUGGCUCUGCAAAAACGGGGUAACAACAGGGCGUGAGAAUUACUGUAAAAAUAAGUAGUCCUCAGUGGGUGCCGCCCUCAACAAUAUCGGUCCACCCACUAAGUCUACAGAAGGGAGCAAAGGUAGAAUAAAUGCUGGAAUAAAAUCUACAGUUACCAAUUAUUACACUAUCGUGCUCUAAGCUGACCUACUGUAGUAACGUCACAUCUGACCCAAUCUCUUUAGGGACUGUAAAUAUACCCUUCCCAGGGACUGUGAACAUACCCGCCCCGCCCAGUUGAGACUAUCCAGCUACCUCCACACUAACCAGUCCGUGGAGAGCNUUUACUACUCUACUUACUAACAUUAUUGUAUCCUACACAAUACAACAAACUAUGGAAGGAAUACGUUAGCAACAACUAUUAACAAGGACAAACCUUGGAGAACAUUAACAUAACUAACGCUGCGGAACUUGCAUGUCCCCUCUGAGACAGGCGCACGUCCCUUUUGGGACAGGCAAGCCGCCAGACAACCGCACGGGCUUAGGCUGGUUUCUCCGCCCGAGCCCCGCACUGUGCGGAACACAUAUGAACUCAACACCAUAUGUGCCGCCCAGACACGUGCGCUGGCCUAUACGAAGGCGACCAUGGGCCCGCACUGUAAAACUCUCCUAAUUUAACUUUAAUUUCCAAUUUUAAAUUCUUAUUCUUUAAAAAUAUUGAUAUCCAAUAAAAAAUCGUUAAAUAUGCUUUAGUUAUUAUAGAUAAUGAUGAUUAAUAAAAAAAUUUUUUUACAUAAAAUAUAGUCUUUUAACCACCGUUGUUAUCAGCGGUGGUAUUUUGAUAGGCCGCCCCAAAAUCACCGCUGUCUUACAGCAGCGAUUAAUAGAUUGAAAAACGCCACUGGCAUACACCGACGAUUAAUAGAUUGAAAAUCGCCGCUGUUUAACAGCGGUGGUUUAUCAAAAUGGCUGCCCCAAAAUCCGCCGCCGUACACCGCUGUUAACAGCGGCGGUUUUAUAAAAAGCACCUCUAUUAAAACUGAUACCACCGCUGUAAACAGCGGUGAUUUAGAAUAUGGACAUCAUCACCUAGAUCUUCCUUUAUGAGUUUGGGAUUGUAAUUUUGGGAAUUUUGUAUCUCAUGAAUAGAAUCUAGGUUCGAGAGAAGGUUCGAUCCAGUGGUGCUCUCCCAAAGAAGUGGUGGUUCGGUAGAGAAGAGGUGGUAUCGAGGUGGUAACCGCGUGGGGUUCCUCUCUCUUUCUCUUUAGAUCUCUCUCUUUCUCCCAAAGAUAAUCCAACCUCUCCUCUCUUUACUCCCGAUUAGGAAUAAUGUGGGUGUGGAUAUGUGAGUAUAUACCGUAUAAACGUGAUUCGGGGAGGUUUAAUUAAGGUAGUUAAGUAUUGUCGGGCUUGACCCGUAAAACGCGGAUGCCCCAAGCCUGGGACGUGUCCCAGACCUGGAGCUCUCGUAGUGAAAGUCGAAAACUCGAUUUUGAAGUGGUCGGACGAGAGGACCCAGGUAUAUGGGAUACGUUCAACAAGGUUUCGAAAACCUUAACGAUUGCCUGGCAAGGUUGAGCAGACGUUGGUGUGAAGCCAGUUAAACUGCCUUCAAGCCAUAUUGAAUAACCCCUGUGCCAUACAAUGUUUUCUCGAGAAAGAGAGAUCCUAGAGAAAGAGAGAGGUUCUCCACCUUCGUUCCCUCUCCCACCAUCUCUUCUUCUGUUUACUCACCUCGUAGAAGGAGAAGAAGAAGAGAUCGUGUUCCUUCCCUUUCAAAAACUCCAUUCGAGGUACUCGAAGGUUCCAUCUUGGGAUCUUUAACCAAGUUUACGGGAUCUUUACCGAAAUCUACCUAGAAAUCUACUAUAAUUCGAACGAAAACGAAUAGAGUUUCUAGAUCUUCCACAUAUAACGAUAUCACGUUUCAAUCACAUUAUAUGGUCUAAAACCAUAUUUUUAUUAUUAUUUAUUUUUAUCACACUCUUUGAUAAAAAUAAUCUAAAUAUCUCCAUUUUGUAUUCAGUCUCCACUGAACACGACUUUAGCCUUAAUUUUGUCUUCUAGAUCUUAAAAGACAACCUCUGCCCUGUCUUUUUAUUCGUCUUUUACGUGUCAGAGUCUUUUAAUACUUUUAACCGCCUCUACAGUCUUUAUAAAAAUACUCCGAUCUAAAUUCCAAAGUAUAAAAAGACUGUGGGUAUCUCACUCUUUAUUUUAGGCUUUCGAUAGACUAUUUCUAACGUCCAGCCAUGUCAAAAGUCACUGGUUUACCCCAGCUUUGACUUGGUCGCUAGCAGUCGAACAAUUCAAUUCAUUUUGGCUCGUACUGACAGUUCAAACUACAUCGCAUUUUUCAUUACAUUGAUUCUCAACUUCCAAAUAUACAAUCGAUUUCUAAACAUAACAUUACAACAUCGAUUCUUUUCUUUUCUUUUCUUAUACCCCUAAGAAGCCGACUCAGGGUGCUGCUAUCUGGUCUCUGUGGUAGGGCGCUAACUACGGAGCUACGCCCUUUCCUCGCGCCGCCGCGCCGCUCGCGUGUGAACCUGUACCCCCAAAAACAACAACACGGGGGUGAGACUAUUGUCCAUAGUCGUCAGUGGGUACAGCCACCCAAGGGAAAAGCUCAACCCACCAGGUCCAAAGGAGGCACUGCAACAUGUUAGUCCAACAGAUAUAUACAUAUAACAUCAUGCAAUACAUGUUCAUGCCUCACAAAUAUGCAAAUUAUGCAACUCUUAGUCAUUCUUUACCAUUAGCCUUUCUUGAGAAUAUGCAAUUCUUUAUCAUUAGCCAUUCUUUAUUCUUUAAUCUUUAUUCUUUAUUCUUUAUGCUUUAUUCUUUUUGCUUUAUUCUUUAUGCUUUAUUCUUUGUUCUUUAUCCUUUACUAAGGGCACUCGCGCCUUAGGCUCAUCAUACACAUUUGCCAUUCUUUAUAACAUUAACAAACGUUUCUCAAUUGUCAUUCUUUCUCAAUUGCUAUUCUUUCUCAAUUGUUAUUCUUUCACAGGGUUACCUUUACCCUAGCCAACUAUGCCACUCGACUCGGUUUUGAGUCAAUUCAUAAUGAAUACAAGAUCCACUUUCCAAAACAUGAUUCCUUUUUGUUCUUUGUUCUUUAAUCUCACGGCUAACCCGGGGGUUUCGCCACAUUAACUUGCUUCACAUUAAGUCCAUCAUCGCAGGAACUCACCAGCUAGGACCGUCAUUACGGGUCUACUCCAACCCGGAUGCCAAACUCCGGAGAGCAUCGCCCGAGGGGGAGCGACCGCCCUCGAGCACGGAACUCAUAGCAAGUAUGAUCAAUCCUUAACUCUAAGGAUAUGUAGUUGGAUCAUGGUUUUACACUAACUCUAGUGUUCUUCACAUCACAUUAGUUGCUAACUCUAGCAAUCAUUAUUCUUUAUACCACAAUUAUCAAUUACUUUAGUAAUUGUCAUUCUUGAUAUCACACUUGUUCUUUUAUUGCCACACACUAACUCUAGUGUUCUUUAUGUCACAUUGGUUGCUAACUCUAGCCAUUAUCAUUGUUCUUUACACUUUGCUUGUUCUUUAUGCCACAUUACUUUACAUCACCUCUAGCCAUUAUCAUUAUUCUUUACAUCACAUUGCUUUGCCUUGUCUCAAGCCAUUAUCAUUAGGUUCUCACAUUACAUCUCAUGCAUACACAUAGAUUAUUUAGAUUCUUAAUCAUUCUAAUAAGCACGUGUACUCACAUCAUGCAACAUUACAUUAUUAUCAUCACAUUGUUUUACAUUAUCUUUAGCCAUUAUCAUUGUUCUUUACAUCACAUUUAUUCUUUGAUGUCCCACACUAACUCUAGUGUCCACUUUACCAUUUCGAAUGCCACUCGAUCUAUGUUCAACGUGCAUAUAUUUUGUCAUCCAUUGGUAGUCAUCACUCAGCAUUUUAUGCAUUCGUUAACGUUUACUACAUGCAUUCUCGGUUAGUACAAUCUCAUACUUUCAUUUGACAUCUAUUUAGCAUUUCUAUAAUAUGCACAUAUAAAUUAACAUCAACUCAUGCAUUCAUUUGGCAUCUAUCUUUAUCAUGCAUUCUUAAUUAGCAUACUUUAUCACGCAUUCUCAAAUAGCAUACUUUAAUCUUUAUCAUGCAUUCUUAAAUAGCAUACUUUAUCAUGCGUCAAUAGUAAACAUACUACACUUUAGCAUGGAAAGCGACCUUGUCGCUUCGGUGAGCACAACCCACCUCAUUUCGCAUUCCGAUUGCUUGUCGACACUUGCAAUCGGCCUCCCGCGGCACCCGUAACCCGGUUUGGCCCGAUCUCUCACGCGACCACCCGAACGGCCUCCAAUUCACAAUCCGAAAAUUAAAGGUCUUCGGUUACUGAUGCCACGAUGCCUUCAAAUCAUUUUCAUGACUUUACAAUAUCGCCUCGGCCCUCCCGGCGGACCCGAAGCCUAAACGUCCAUUUUUUAAUAACUUUGUAACGGUCGUCGCGAUCGCGAACUGUCUUCGCCAACAGCCGUUCGUUUACCUAGCAAUUAGGUUUACGGAGGGUCAAAUUAGAUCAAACCCUUAUAUUUACAAAAUCUCUUCGGAAGCCCUAAUAUGUAUUAACCUCAAAAUAAUCCAAAAUUAACGGAUCACAUGCUAACAAAGCUCAUUAGAGGCUAUUAGAAUACUUAAAGCCUAAGGAUUAGCCAAAUCCCAAAGCUUACCCAAUGUGAACGCCGUAACGAAACACGCCGUCUCUCUCUUUGAUCNNNNNNNNNNNNNNNNNNNNNNNNNNNNNNNNNNNNNNNNNNNNNNNNNNNNNNNNNNNNNNNNNNNNNNNNNNNNNNNNNNNNNNNNNNNNNNNNNNNNCUUUUGUACCGUUAAACGAGCAAACAUAUUGUACUGAUAAUUAAAAGGGUUAAUUAAAAUUAUAAAUGCACGAAUCUUAAAGAAAGCAACAGUAGAUCGGGGGAGGCUUCAAUAUAGAUACUUUGCUCCAGUUAACUUGGCGCCAACUCCCACAAUAAGAAGAAUCGCACAGUUAUAGCUAUAAAUAAGGAUAUAUAGGAGCAAGAAGAAUAAGUCGAUCGAUUGAGGAAUUGCCAAGGAUCAGAGAAUAGGAAUAGCCAGGGAGAGAAUAGGACUCUUGCUAAUUCUUGAUCAACCGAAAUCAGCAAGAGGAGAAGACGACGCUUACGCUCAUGCCGAUGCCGACGUCGGGGCUCAUCGGACUGCUGGUCUUCCUUGGCGGAGCGCUUGCUGGCGCGUUGGUCAGAGCGGCCCGACAAGCUAGAGAAGAGCUCCACGGCGGCAGCGGCAACAGCGGCAGCGGCCGCAACAGGACCAGUGAUAACGGCACAAGGAAUGAGAUGCAGCGGCGACCACCACUGCAGCAGCCUCCUCCUCCUCCCUCCUUCGAGAGAGAGAACCAUUCGUAAUCGCCCAAUCCCUUGCGUUUCUUUUCUUAGUACUAAUUGAUCAUAAACCUUAGGUACGUAUAUAUGUGACAGUCCUCUUUUAUAUUGGUAAAUAACAUUGGUGCACGGUGCAAUUAAUUCUGUGUACUUGUAGCGGGGGUUUGAGAGAUUUAGAAGAAGCCCGUGUUGAAGGAGGAGAAAGGGGGAGAAAAUGGAGGUGGAGGAGCAGAGGAGGACAGGAAGAACAUGAUGAUUCUGAUUGCGAUUUUGGCGAUACGGGAGAUGAUAACGGCGAUGACGGUGUUCAAGCUUAAGAUUGGAUUAGAGACCAAAAUUGCUGCUUUUCUUGAAUUGUUUCUAUUUUUUCAUAUCAUUGUUUACUUUUUGUUUGGGAUUUUUUGAAUUUCGAGAUAGUGCCAUGGCUUCAUUAAUGAUCUUGAUCUCCCCCAAAAGGAAAAAACUUGAACUAGCUUCAUUGUUCCUUAGGAAGAGAGGAAGAGAGAUAUUUUGAAUCGAGAGUUUUACUGUGGCCGACGUGGCUGCUUCUCCGCACUCGCGAGGAAGAGAGGAAGAGAGAAAAGGAGAGAAAGAAAGAGACGGGGGGGCCUGCGUGCAAGCGACCCGCGCCUGCAGCACUCGCGGGGGAGAGAGAGGGAGAGAGAGAGAGAGCAGAGGGAGAGAGAGAGAGAGAGGGCAGAAGGAGAGAGGGGGCGAGAGAGAGAGAGAGAGUGAGAGAGCAGACAGAGAGAGGGGGAGAGAGAGAUCUCUCUCUCCCCCUCUCUCUGUCUGCUCUCUCACUCUCUCUCUCUCUCUCGCCCCCUCUCUCCUUCUGCCCUCUCUCUCUCUCUCUCCCUCUGCUCUCUCUCUCUCUCCCUCUCUCUCCCCCGCGCGUGCUGCAGGCGCGGGUCGCUUGCACGCAGGCCCCCCCGUCUCUUUCUUUCUCUCCUUUUCUCUCUUCCUCUCUUCCUCGCGAGUGCGGAGAAGCAGCCACGUCGGCCACAGUAAAACUCUCGAUUCAAAAUAUCUCUCUUCCUCUCUUCCUAAGGAACAAUGAAGCUAGUUCAAGUUUUUUCCUUUUGGGGGAGAUCAAGAUCAUUAAUGAAGCCAUGGCACUAUCUCGAAAUUCAAAAAAUCCCAAACAAAAAGUAAACAAUGAUAUGAAAAAAUAGAAACAAUUCAAGAAAAGCAGCAAUUUUGGUCUCUAAUCCAAUCUUAAGCUUGAACACCGUCAUCGCCGUUAUCAUCUCCCGUAUCGCCAAAAUCGCAAUCAGAAUCAUCAUGUUCUUCCUGUCCUCCUCUGCUCCUCCACCUCCAUUUUCUCCCCCUUUCUCCUCCUUCAACACGGGCUUCUUCUAAAUCUCUCAAACCCCCGCUACAAGUACACAGAAUUAAUUGCACCAUGCACCAAUGUUAUUUACCAAUAUAAAAGAGGACUGUCACAUNNNNNNNNNNNNNNNNNNNNNNNNNNNNNNNNNNNNNNNNNNNNNNNNNNNNNNNNNNNNNNNNNNNNNNNNNNNNNNNNNNNNNNNNNNNNNNNNNNNNNNNNNNNNNNNNNNNNNNNNNNNNNNNNNNNNNNNNNNNNNNNNNNNNNNNNNNNNNNNNNNNNNNNNNNNNNNNNNNNNNNNNNNNNNNNNNNNNNNNNNNNNNNNNNNNNNNNNNNNNNNNNNNNNNNNNNNNNNNNNNNNNNNNNNNNNNNNNNNNNNNNNNNNNNNNNNNNNNNNNNNNNNNNNNNNNNNNNNNNNNNNNNNNNNNNNNNNNNNNNNNNNNNNNNNNNNNNNNNNNNNNNNNNNNNNNNNNNNNNNNNNNNNNNNNNNNNNNNNNNNNNNNNNNNNNNNNNNNNNNNNNNNNNNNNNNNNNNNNNNNNNNNNNNNNNNNNNNNNNNNNNNNNNNNNNNNNNNNNNNNNNNNNNNNNNNNNNNNNNNNNNNNNNNNNNNNNNNNNNNNNNNNNNNNNNNNNNNNNNNNNNNNNNNNNNNNNNNNNNNNNNNNNNNNNNNNNNNNNNNNNNNNNNNNNNNNNNNNNNNNNNNNNNNNNNNNNNNNNNNNNNNNNNNNNNNNNNNNNNNNNNNNNNNNNNNNNNNNNNNNNNNNNNNNNNNNNNNNNNNNNNNNNNNNNNNNNNNNNNNNNNNNNNNNNNNNNNNNNNNNNNNNNNNNNNNNNNNNNNNNNNNNNNNNNNNNNNNNNNNNNNNNNNNNNNNNNNNNNNNNNNNNNNNNNNNNNNNNNNNNNNNNNNNNNNNNNNNNNNNNNNNNNNNNNNNNNNNNNNNNNNNNNNNNNNNNNNNNNNNNNNNNNNNNNNNNNNNNNNNNNNNNNNNNNNNNNNNNNNNNNNNNNNNNNNNNNNNNNNNNNNNNNNNNNNNNNNNNNNNNNNNNNNNNNNNNNNNNNNNNNNNNNNNNNNNNNNNNNNNNNNNNNNNNNNNNNNNNNNNNNNNNNNNNNNNNNNNNNNNNNNNNNNNNNNNNNNNNNNNNNNNNNNNNNNNNNNNNNNNNNNNNNNNNNNNNNNNNNNNNNNNNNNNNNNNNNNNNNNNNNNNNNNNNNNNNNNNNNNNNNNNNNNNNNNNNNNNNNNNNNNNNNNNNNNNNNNNNNNNNNNNNNNNNNNNNNNNNNNNNNNNNNNNNNNNNNNNNNNNNNNNNNNNNNNNNNNNNNNNNNNNNNNNNNNNNNNNNNNNNNNNNNNNNNNNNNNNNNNNNNNNNNNNNNNNNNNNNNNNNNNNNNNNNNNNNNNNNNNNNNNNNNNNNNNNNNNNNNNNNNNNNNNNNNNGAAAACAAAUGGGUGGCAACGGAGUCCGUUUGCUAUCAAUAGUAUUCUAGCUCAACUCUAUAUAUAUAUACAUAUAUGUAUAUGUAUGUACGUAUGUAUAAUUAUCUGCGAAUGGCAUGGGUAUAAAUAUGUAUACAUGUAUAUAUAUAUAUAUAUAUAUGUAUAUAUACAUAUAUAUACAUAUAUAUACAUAUAUACAUAUAUAUACAUAUAUACAUAUAUAUAUAUAUAUACAUAGAGUUGAGGUAGAAUACUAUAAUAACAAACGAGUUCCGUUGCCAUCUAUUUAUUUUCGAUGAUGAAACCUCCAAAUUGACGAUCGGCACCGUUGCGCAUGAUCUAUAUCACUUGAAGCAUCUAGAAACCAAAUUUCAAAUCUAUUUGAUAUCAUUGACCUAAUGAUCAAAGGGUUUCAAAACUUGUAAUUUUAAUGGUCGAUAUAAGGCAUUUUCUCGUUUAACGGUGUAAAAAUAUCCAAAUCAAUUGAAUUUUGGUUAGAAAAUUCUUUAAACUAUUUAGAGCAAGAUCUAUUAUCUCGAUCUUGAUUAUAAGAUUCUUAUCAUCACUUUUUAAAGAAUAUUUAUUUUCAGCCGUUCAUUUUGUGUUCACUUGAUGGAUAAGAGAACAGUAUCGAAAAAGUAUAAAAUUUGAUUUCUAGAUACUUCAAGUGGUGUAGAUAAUGUUCAACGGUACCGAUCGUCAAUUUGGAGGCUCCAUCAUCGAAAACAAAUGGAUGACAACGAAGCCCGUUUGCUAUCAAUAGCAUUUUAGCUCAGCUCUCUCUCUCUCUCUCUCUCUCUCUCUCUCUCUCUCUCUCUAUAUAUAUAUAUAUAUAUAUAUAUAAUUAGUAAAUUUUUCAUAUUUUACGAUCCUAUUAUUUGUAAGAAUACGGCAAGUACUUUUCUACUUUUCGGCAGAUAAUAUAUAUUUUUUUACUUUCUUACAAAAUAGUGUAAUGACCCGCGCUUCGCGGCGAGAGGUCGUAACAUUGAGAGCUAAUAAUAUGACUUUCAUUAUAUUUAUUUAUCACAAAACAUACAGAUAUAUAUAACAUUCACAUUAUGUAAGAUAAAUAGAGACAAACAUACAGAUAUAUAUAACAUUCACAUUAUAUACAACAUUCCUUCACGUAGUUAAAUAAGUAGAGACAAAUCUACACAUUCAUGCACCUGUUUGAUGGUGAACAGCAAUGCUACAUAUGGAAAAAGCUUUUGGGGGGAGGAUGCAUGCACUCUAAUGAUAAGAAAGAUAGCAAAAGGACAAGAAAAUAUUCUAUGUAUUAUGAGAUAUAUUUUUUGUUUCAUGCACCUUAUGUUUGAUGUUAAACAAUAUUGGUAUAUAUAGAAAAAGUUGGGUAGGAUAAAUGCAUCGGAAUGAUAAGAAAGAAAGCAAAAGGAGAAGGAAUAUUCUAUAUAGUAUGAAAAAUUUUAUAAAAGAAAAGGUUAUCUUGUGGGUGAGAUACUAUUUCUAUUGGACUUAAAAAAUUAAAAGACAAUUUACAAAUAAUUCAUGGUGAAAUUGGAAUAAAAACAAGAGAUUUAGAAUUUUCUGUAAGGAAUAUAGUUUUUUUUUUUUAGGAGAUACACAGUGUAAUAAAAAUAUUAAACUUUGAAUAUAUGCCGGAAUUAUUUUUCUUAGGCUAGAUUUAAAGUUUCGUGUUAUUCUGACACUCCAAAAGUGAGGACGAAAAAUAACAGCAAUCUGAUAAAGAUUUUAGUUCGUAGACCUUUCGGCGACAAAGAAAAUGUUCAGAACUGUAAAAUUAAGAUGACGUUCUUCUGGUUGAUUUUAAUUGAGCUUGUCUUUAAAAUCAUUAUUGUUUAACAUGAUACACAGGGUGCAUAAAACAAAAUGUUCCAUAGUACAUGCUCCUUUAACAUAGCCCAUGUGAGUCCAUGUGAGGGAGGGAGAACUUGUGAGGGAGAGAGAGAAAACCCAUAUAAAAGAAAGGCCAUGUGGUUUGACAGAGGAACGGCAUUUAGUUUCAACUUUAGUAUAGAGUUUAAUGCUGCAAUUUUUGUAAGAACACUGUGUUCUAUGGGUGGGCUUGGUAAUGUCCUAACAAUUUUUGUUAUUGUCGCAAAAAAUUUGAAUUUUACUUAUCUUGCUACGCGAUAACGAAAUAAGAUCUGCAAAUAUCAAUUCUCUAUUCUUUAGAAGCUGAUUCAUGAAAGUAGAUUCAUAUAAUAAAAUAAAAAUAAUAAUUGUACCAUGUAAUUUGUCACCGAGGCAUUCAACAAGAUGCUUUUUCAACCCAAAAUCUAAUUCUUUGCUAUUGAAUAACAGGACAAAGAUACGGUUCUAAAGCACUUUUUGAUUUUAUCUUAGAGUUUUGAUAAAAACACACAAUUAAUUACUUAUAUUACAGUUAUAAGAAUCACCAUAGAUCGAGCCAUAAAACUAUGUAACUUAAUUAGGCUACUUGCACAUACCGGAGUUAGCUAAAGACUUGAUGGCCGGUAUCCGAUAUCUCAAAUUUAAAAUAUAGAUGUUUCACAUAUCUAGCUGAUCGAAUUAAAUUUCAAGAGAUGAACGAAACGGACAGAUUGUUAAUUUUCUCUAAAAAAAAGGACUCCACAACUUAGCUAAUUUCUAACCUUUUUUAAAUUUGAAUAAAAAGCAAUUCUUGAUGUUUCAUAAAAAAAUAGAGAGAAAAAAAGGAAAAACGACAACAAAAUAAUGUAAGCAUGUCUAUAAGCAAAGUAAAUAUAUUUCUCAGUUUUUGAACAGAGCAUAAGAUGCAGACCACAAGCCCAAUAUCAUUGCAUGACCAUUUUGUUGGGUUAAAGAGGUCAGUAUCCUGCUUUGCGGUGGGAGGUCAAAUUAGGCGAGUCAUAUUCAAAAUGGCGGAAGAUCGGAUUGGGCCGAGUCAUAUUUGAAAUGGUGUUAAGAUGGUUUGACGGAGUCGCAAUUGAAACUCAUAAACGCUGUGUCUAUAUAUUUUAAGCGAAUUAGUUAUAUUUUUCUAAUAACCCCCAGCUUUUAAAAUUAAUGAUUAUCUCUAAUUUGGAGUAGAAACAAGCCGAGCUCGAGCGAGCUUAUCUUAGCUCAAAUUCGGCUUGAAAUUAAUUUCGAGCUUAAAUUUGUCUCAAGCUUGGCUUGAGAAUAAUUUGAGUCGAACUCGAGCGAGCCUAAUUUCGAGUCGAGUGAGCUCGAGCCGUAAACGAGUCGUUUAAAAUUCUCAACUUUAUACUAUCAAUAGUUUAAUUUAUAUAAAACAUUAUUUAUAAUUUAACAUAAAAAUAUAUCUAAUAGUUCAAAAUACAAAAUAAUUAUAUGAAAUACGAUAUUAUAAUCUGAAGAAAAAUAGUUUAUGAGUUGAAUAUCUAAUCUUUUCAGGCUCGCAUGUCUUCUCUUUCGCCUUCAAUCUAAUUAGUAAAUUUUAAUAUUUUACAAUCCUAUUAUUUGUAAGAAUACGGCAAGUACUUUUCUACUUUUCGGCGGAUAAUUUUUUUUUUGUUUUUUACUUUCUUACAAAAUGCUGCAGUUUUUGUAAGAGCACUGUGUUCUUGUCACACCCCGGGGUGCCUUUUUGAUUUAAAAGCAAAGCAGAAGUACCCAAUUUUUUUUUUUUUAAAAAAAAUCCGACUCUCAGGGUAUGUCAGAGCCGCCAUAAAUAUAGAGAGUCUACUGUUCACACGGACAGAGUCUCCCCUGUAUUUGUACGGCGUCGUACAAGUACAAGAUACAUAAUACAGAAUACAACCAUCACAUAUGAACAUACACAUAUUCAUACACCAUUCACAUUCACAUUUAAUGCAUCACAAUUAUUCAUAAAUCCACAUCUACCAGUUUGAAAUGUUUCCUAUCCGGAAAUUUAUUUUGAAAUACUAAUAAUCAGGAAAACCAGAAAAUUCUUUUCAAAACUGUUUCCCACACGAAAACCUUUUCCUUUUUAAAAUUCGCUACCACGAGGGGUAGAAAACUAUUUCAGUUUGCAAAUAUCACAAAUCCUUUAUUACAUUCAUGAAAUCCCAAUUAUUCAAUUUUCAUGAAAUACUGAACCAUAAAUGCAUUCUAAGUCAUUAUUUAAGGAAAGCAUGUCAAGAGUUUAAACUGAAUGGACAGGUCCGAAAGCUCUACCAAACCGCUAAGUGCGCUCCUCACGAACCGUCCCACUAGGACCCGCUACCUCACCUGUAAUGAGGGUGGGGGGUGAGAACAUAUAAAUAUAUCUUCCCUCCCAGUGGGUACCACAAGCCGACGAGGGCGAGGGGUACUCACUAGUCACGGAGAAUAAACAAAGGCAUGGAUAAGGAUAAUACAGUAACAACGAUAAUAAACGAACGAUAUAUGUAUAAAUGAACAACUACCGCUACUGUAUGUAUGUAUGUAUCAACCGGACGACAAGUCCAAAAUACCUAAUCGAAACUGCCCUAUCAGUCCGUAGACCUCAGGCCUGUGCCACAACUACUCAAACCUGUAAAUGACCCUCGCAUAAGCACCCGAGUCUAAAAGGUAUAUGACCCUCGCAUAAAGCACCCGGGUCUGAAAGCACAUGACCCUCGCAUAAAGCACCCGGGUCUGAAAGCAUAUAACCCUCGCAUAAAGCACCCGGGUCUCACGGGCUAGUAUUCCCAACCACUUUUUUGAAAAAGAAUACCCUCUUGCGGUGGCCAAACCGUUGGUAUUCGUGAAAUGUGUGCGAGCAGUGUCGAUCAAUGCUAAUAUGCUCAAUAGCCAACCGUUGGCAACUAGCCGACAACCACAGCCCCUCGGGGCACACUGACCAAUAGGUCAUCGAACUGUAAGGAACACAAAUACUGACCACUCAGGUCAACUAGGAUGGAACAACUCAACAUCCCUUCGAAGACAUGCAAGUAUCGACCACUCAAUGUCAACUAACAUUUAUAUACACAAGAACCGAUGAAUAGGUCACGAAAUGUCACAUCAUACAUCGGUAUAAUUCAGAACUAACCGUCAGCCACUAGCCAACAAUUCUGCCCCUCAGGGCACACCGACAGCAUAGGUCAUCAAGUAGUCCAACCGACCAAAUAGGUCACAAUAACAAUGCAGUAAACCGACCGAACAGGUCACAGACACGGAAUACAACAACCGACCAACUAGAUCACAAAACAGAUGCAGCGCACUGACCCAUUAGGUCACAAUCUCACAAAUAAUCACGAAACCGCUCUACUCUAAACAUGAUACAGGAUAUGCAAAGCAGCUAAGUAGAGCAACAAGAAAACGUAGUAUAGGUGCUAGGCUUAACAUAUAUUAUAUGCUUGUAGAGUAAUAACGGGAGAACAAGGGUAAGAAGAUAUCACCGAGCGUGCACCGCUGUACCGACUUCGGAUCGAAGAACCCAUCUGUACAAAUAUGGUACUGGCCUUCCAACUACGGAGGAAGUAACAACCGGACCUACGAAGGGUCCACCGGGUUAGCGUCCAACCCACAACAUGAAUCACUAACUCACAAACCCCACCAAUAACCCUACGGGAAUCGGUUCCCAAAACCGAUUGCCGCAAUACGCCGGAAGUCCCGAAAAUCGCAUCAGGACUCCGCGAGGACCCACGAACUGUCUCGGAACUCACCGACUCGCUCUACGAGUCACCCGCUGCCACUACACUCAAUUAUUUGUGUGACAUGGCAGCAAACGUACAUCCUCACAACGAAACGAUUAUCGUCGGAUAAUCGUUCCGAUCUGGGUUCCCGGAAAUGUCAAAUUGGACACCAGAACCCACCGUCGCUCACCCGUCGUUUCCGAACCUUCGAAACGACAUGAAUGACUAGCCAACAAGGCUCAGCGACUACACAAUAUACCAUGAGGCACCGUCGGAAGAAUCCGAACCGAAAUCGCGUUCCAUCGGCGGAUUUUGCCGAAAAACGCACUGAAAAUCAACAUCUGAUUUCCGAGAAGGCCAGGGGCCUUGGACAACCAGUCCAGAGGUCACCUGAUGUCCGCACACACUGCUAACAGCAACCACGAAACAUACAAUUGCAAUAAAAACCCCUACUAUACCAUAAAAUCACAUCAUUUUAUGUGAUUUUAUCCGGUUUUAUGGCUCGACAGCACAAUCCGAGAGCUUUCAAGGAUGGCCGAGACACACGCUGAUAAGUCUCAACAUGCCAGAGGCCAUGCUCAUGAUUCGGAGCAUGGCCGGCCACUGUGAAGAGAGCGCGAGCGAUGCGAAAUUCUGUGAACAGCGCGCACAGGAACUAAAAUGCAUCUAAUUCCCUAAUCAGAGGCUCGUUGACCCCAAAUGAGGUGGGCACUAUGAUCAGCAUUGACUGACGAUCACUGUGCUCACCUCCGGAGGCAUCGGAACAGCCCCGGGUCGCCGGAACAGUGAAGGCAACCCAAAACAGUGCACAAACUGCUUAUGAAAAAAGCUUACCGGGCAAGGUGGAGCUACGGCACAGCCGGCGGCGGCCGGGCGGCGGGCACGCCGGCGGAAGAAAGGUGCGAGCGACGGAGGGAGGCCGAGGCGCGCAUCGGCUGGCGACGGGAGGCAGCGUAGGCGGCGGGCAUUGAUGCCCUAGCCGCAAACACAAACGGGAGCUCGGCUCCAACCCGGCAGGCAGGGACCCCCGGUGGAGGGGAGCGCCGGCGGCAGUCGGGUCCGGCCGACCAGGGGGAGCCGGUGCUCCCGCUGGCCGACGGCGGAAGGCGGCGAUGGCGGCGCGGGGAGAAAUCGAGCCCGCACGGGCCUCUAUCACCUCGGGCUGCAUCGCUUCUCCGACCACGACAAAGUCCGAAGCAAGCAUAGGAGGGGUGUGGCCAACCUCUGGAGUCGAGGGGAGGAGGCGUGGCCGGCGGCAGGCGGCGCGACGAAGUUCAGCUGCACCAUCCGAGCUAGCUGCAUAUUGAAACAAUGGUGAAUAUGGCGCUCGGGGGAGGCUGUGGCCGGUCGGGGAAGGUUGCCGGAGGAGCGCCUAAGGGUGAGGGAUCACCUAGGGUGGUCCAAGGGCAGAAAAGAUGGAGGAUGGUGGAGAUGAUGGAGAGGGAAGGCAUGAACACAAGAGACGUGACAAAACGUGUCUUUAAUUUGUUCAAAUUCUUAAGGAAAAUAAACUCCUGCAAAGUAGAAGUUCGUGCAACUUACUUUUCCAAAUAUAUCAGCAGAUGAUCUUCUUAAUUGCAUCCGCUUAAUCAUUCUGCUUGGCUCUCUCAUGUAAGCAUUUACUUGAUCACUAAUUUUCUGAGCACAUAGACAGGAAAAUAUAGGAAAGAAGAAUACAUAAUUCAUAUGUCCCAAAAUCUUAAAUAAGCUGCUGUUAUAUAAAGCAGAUGAAUAGAGUGAGAAACCUGAUUAAAAGCAUGCAAUUUGCCCUGAAAGCAGAAGUGCCAGUUGUCACUUGUGUCUUCCUCUGCCACUUGUCUACUUCACUAUUUCUGAAUGGCACAAUUCUGCCAAUUGACACAGAUAAGUAUUCAAUUAUUUAGCUCAUCUUCUAUUUGUUUCUUCAAAUUUAGCAGCUACAGGGAUGGACUUGCAAAAAAUGGCAAUACAUCUUUUAGCAAUUUUACAUACAAAAUUGCAAGAUAUAGAACAACUUAUUUUAGCAGCACUUUACUCCAAAAUAUUAAAUUGCUUGACAAGGUAAUUGUUCAACUAGAAUACAAGGUAGAACUAAAUGAGAAGAACAACUGUUGCAUUUUACUACAUCUAUAAUUAAGCAUUAAUAUACUGCACGCUUGUCACAAGGACAUGUAAUUCGUUGAGAAGAAAACCUAGCAAAAACAAUAGUGUACAAGCAAAGACGUGAAAGAUGGAAAUAAUGCAGCCCACGUAGAACCCAACAUACUGUAGAUACUUUGCAACUUCAGCAAAAAUGCCAUUGAAUUUAUGGACCUUGAAAGGGAAACUAGAUUUAACAGCAUAACUAACCAUGCUUUAAGAAUUUCGUAAUUAACCCUAUUUACAUUGUUGAGGUAGAAAUCAGAGAUUGGAAGAACAGAAAGUUUGGUACAGAAUUACACAAAGCAGUCAGGCAGCUGAAUUAUUAAUAAAAGUACUCCUUAAGACCUCAUCAACUAUGUACAAUUAGUUAGGUUUGAAUCUUUGAAGUCCUAACUUGUACACAGAUUUAAAAAAGUAAAACCUACUAUUCGCUUGUCCAUUUCUGCUUCGACCAAAGUGGCUAGAAGUUUCUCUAUCUCAAUCUGCACAUAAUUACAAUAAAUAAGUGCAUAGACGUAUAAAACAAUUUCAAUGCAUAAAGCACUUGAAACGCAUCUACUUGGGACAACUGUGCAGUGUUGUCAGACUCUGGCUAGAGAAGCAGUUGGAUCAAAGAAGAUGUUCUUAUUAGUCAAGCACCAAAAUAUUCAGUUAAAGGAAUUAGGAAAGUAUAGAAAGCCAUUGCAUUACAAUGGAUAGGAGGGAGUACCUCCUUUCUGAUGAAUGAUGGCAAAAAUUCGAAUAACACAGAUGCCCAAGGCGAAAGAUGAGACGAAAUAUCAUCUGUGGAAACACCUUCGUUCUGGAGACUAUGAAUUUCCUACAAUAGUCACAGAGCAUCCAAUAUAUUAUUUAAAUGUCUAACUCACCAAGUGGUAGAAGAAAAAUGGUGGCCAAUUAUGAAAAAAAUAUAUGCAUAUGAAAAACAAAAAACAAAAACAACUCAUAAAUCUAGUCUACAGGAUUAUAGUUUUAAGAUAAUAAGAAGCCAUGAAAUUUUAAGCUACCUGAAGAUCACGAAUAAGAUGAAUAAAAGAUGAGACCAUUUCAUUCUUUCUUUUUCCUUUUUUUUAAGAGAGAACUGAGAAGGAAUGUGUGUGUACAGAUCACUCUUGCACCAUGAAAUUGUGGAUUUACUGGUUAGCUAGUAAUGACUAGAAAAACUAUUAACAGAUAUGUCAUUCACACAAUAGUACCUAAAUUACAUUAGUAGGAUGUGCAUGACUACCAUAUUAAAGUAAAAAAGCAACGGUAAUAAAAAGAACUACACUAGAUGCUUUGCUGAAUAAUUAGCAGGUCGAAUGAUAGGCUAGGAGGCCCUUGACUACACAAAACAGAGACCCUUUGUUAUCACUGACAAAUUAGCAUAUGGCAAAUAUCAUUCUAUAAAUGAUUUUAGCAGCCAAGUAAUAUAACCACAUAGUAGAAGCAUAUACUAUGUAAUCUCUUCUAAUGCUUCUGCUAAUAAUUCAGAUCUAAUAUAUCAAAGCCUUUCAGUCUACUGGCAGAUUAAUUUCUUAAAGUACUAGAGAGCACAAAGGAAAAGUCUAGUUGAUCACUAAUUAGCCUGAGAAUGUGAAAUUCAAAAGGAGUUGCUUUGACAAGAGUCAAGAACAACACAUCAAAUUUUCAGACGAUUAUGAACUUCCUUUUUAAAUAGAAUCUUGUUUUUGUAUUUUAAGCAGAUAGUGCAUUUAUUAAGCUCAAAAAUAAUAUAUGCAAAAUCAUAAAAAAAAGACCACUGUAAGUACUUAUAUAGUUAAGCAAGUACUUAGACCAUUUGUGUUUUAUACAUCUUGAAGUAUAUUUGCAAACUCAUGAUUUCAGAUGCUCUAAAGAAGUCAAUAAACCUUAAAGUGCUUAGAUACCAGGCCAAAUACCUAAACAGUCUGUGCUUCAUAUCGCUUGAAGCAUCAUUCGCAAAAUCAUGACUCCAAUUCUCCAAAGAGUCAAGAAACUCUAAAUUACUUAUAUACUCACCAAACACCUAUACAAUUUGCAUUUUAUUGUAAGAACUGAGAUUUUGACAAUAUAACUAGACUCUUUGUUAACGAUGUUUUCAUGUGUAAUUUAAUUACAUAUGCACUCGUCAAGUUUCAGGAUAAAACGAGUUAGGAUGGAGAAGUUACGCGACCUUUAAUUAGUGAUCACUUAAAGUGAAUAGUAACUUCGAUUUUCCGGAGAGGCCAAUCAGUGGAGAUGCCUUCUGGUGCAUAUUGGACUCCAUUUAUAGUGAUCCAAUAGCUCGUUUUUGAUGGAUCGACUAUCCUGGAGCCAAUGGACGGAUUUGGGUUUGAUGUACAAGAAAAAAGGGGUUUAUUGGACUUACACAAAUAUGUAAGUGUGGUUUUUUGGAAAUUUGGAGAGGGGAUGAAUUUCGUCGCAAAUCGGCGACAAAAUCUGGUGAAACAAAAUAGUAGAUUAAUUCGAUACCCCAGUCGUGCUGAACUCACUGGCACAAUCCGAUCAGAAAUCCGACGGACGGAUCUCUCGAAAUCGCAUAAUGUUCACUGAGGGGUCGAAAUUGACAAAAUAAAAAAAUUCACGAAAAGCCCAAUAUUUUGUAUCGUUUUGCGCGAUUUUGAACGUCAAGGUGCGUAUGUGCGAAAUACACCCGCUGUGAGAGGCUGGGCUGAAAAUAUGCAUCUCUGAAGGACUAAGUCGCAUAAUGGCCAAUAUAUAUACAUUGGGCAUUUAGGGUUUCAUGCACGAAACCCUAACCCUAGCUGCCUUAGCUCCUCUAGCUGCGCCCUAGCCAUCACCAGCACCCCUCCCUGACCUCGCUGCGCGUACCCCGGCCGCCGGCGAGCUCCUCCAGCCACCGAAGAAGAGCUACAUUGCCUUUCUCCACCAUCUCCUCCACCAUCUCUGUCGUGGACCACCCCUGAAGUGAUCUAACCCUUGGGCCCCCUACCCUGGCCGCAUCCUUGGUCUCCGGCGACUCCCUCGUCAAUCCCCGUCGACCCCGCGCGCCGCCAUCACUGCCUGGGCGCCCUGCGACAGAGCCGAGGUUAGCUCGGGCCAAGCUGAGUUUAGCUCUUUGCCUGCAAGCCGCAGCUGCCUGGGACCAGCCGCGACGCCCUCCCUCAACCUCCGGUGACUCCACCCGCCUGCCCCCGCCGCUGCCGCAUCUGGCAGCCUGCGGCCUCCCCAGACCAGCUAGGGCCGAGCCGAGGUCAUCCUUGUCCCCAUGCGCCGCCGCCGCCGCCUAGGGCAGGCCGUGCCGCCCUCCAUCGACCUCCAGCGACCUUUCACCGUCGCCCUGGUGCUCCCCCGGCCGCUGCCCGACCGUCAAUGCACCGUUGAGCCCGAGCCAAGCCCGGGCGAGCUCGGGGUGCUCCAGCGCCGCCGCCGCUACCUUCCACCGCCGGUCGGCGUGCACGCUGGCUCUGCCUGGUCGGCCGCACUCGUCCGCCACCGGCGGUCUCGUCGCCAGAGCUCUCUAUCAGUCGGACUAGGCCCGUGUUUUUCACGGGUUCGUGUGGUUAGGGCAUCAAUGCCCGUCGUCGCCGCCGCCUUCCGUUGUAGGCCAAUGCAAGCCCUGGCCUCCCUACGUUGCAUGCGCCCGCCUGCCGCAGGUGUGCCCGCCGCCGAGCCACCGCCGGCCAUGCCAUAGGCCUUCUUGCCCUGGUGAGCUUUAUUUUAUGCUGUUUUGUGCAUUAUUUACAGUUCAAAUCGCAAUGUUGGCGACCCAGGGCUAUUCCGAUGCCUUCGAAGUUGAGCACGGUGAUCAUCGUUCAGAGCUGAUCACAGUGCUCACCUCAUUUGGGGUCACCGAGCCCCAGAUUGGGGAUUUAGACACGUUUUAGUUUCAGCGUGCAGCUUCGCUGAACUUUGAGUCGCUCCCGCGCCUCCCACAGUGGACGGUUGUGCUCCGAAUCAUAAGCACGGCCUUCGACACGUCGAGACCUAUCAUUGUGUGUCUCGGCAAGCCUCGAAAGCUCUCAGUUUGUGCUGUCGAGCCAUAAAACCUGGUAAAAUCACAUAAAAUGAUGUGAUUUUAUGGUAUAGUUGUCACGCCCCGGGACCCGGCAUAGGCCCGCCCGAUGCGUGCCCAGACUCGCCAUAUGCCAGCACAUAUAAGGCGUCUACAACAAAAGCGAUAAGUGAACAAGAAAUAAAGAGUAUCUAGAGAUAUCAGAAUAAGUAUACAGCUAAGUUCUAUCAACAAGUAGAAUUAAAGAUAACUAAACCACUAAAGUAAAACAUAGGUUAAUACAUCAUAAAUCUCAAGAUACAUAUAAGGGGUGGUCUCUACAAAAAGGUUCAAAUCUCUCAACCUCUCCAAAAAAAAACAAAAGAGAGGUGGACCACCUAUCGACAAGUCCCUCGCUAGCUAGUCCGAAGCGAUACCUAUCCCGCGACCCCGAGCAUCUCCCGGUGUGGAAGGCUCUGAAAGAAAAUCAUAAAACAGGAAGCGUGAGAACUAUAAUUUAUAGCUCCCAGUGGGCAAUUACUGACCUGAACAAAGUGCGCCACUUGGUCCAAAAGAGAGCAGAUAUGAAUAACUGAAAAUAACUGCGAAAAUAAAAGCAUAUAAUAAAAUACUAUUCUACUAUACCACAAGUAUACAUGAUGUCAACAUGGUGUACAUCUAUUCUAUCAUGAUUCCAAUUUGCCAAUACGUAACAAUUAUGCUCUAUCAUGGCUACCAAGUAUACUAUGAUGCAACAACUAAUACUAUCAAGUAUACUACUUGUCCCAAAGUCCAAUAAUCCAACUACUCUAUGCUAUCAAGUAGUGAUUGUCAUAAUAUUGUUUAAUGUUCUCAUUUAAUCUCUUUUAGGACCUACACUUGUGUAGUCCAGCUUGUGCCGCCUAGCUGCCUGUGGUAGCCCGUCAUUCCAGGCUAGGAAUGAGUCUGUCCCACACGACCCUACAGGUGUCUCGCCGCCGAGCUGCCCAUGGUAGUUCAUCAUCCCAAGCUGGAAUGAGGCUGUCCCACGCGACCCAACAGGCGUCUCAAUCCCGCACGAGCAAACUGCGUCACAAAGGCCAACUCCGGAGUGCCGGCUUGUAGGGAGCGACCCUCACAAGCAUGUGCGAAUGAGCACAAAUGGCAAGCAAGUAUAGUCAUCGUAUCACGGAUCUCGUCAUGAUGUCUCUAAUAUGGAAAUACUCACUAGCGACCCCACAGGUCUAGUCCAAUGUCUCAAGUGAAGGUUUAACCAUUCAUUAAGUUCGAUGUCUCUAAAUGACAUUAUAUCUCAUUAUAUCCAAAUCUCAUUCCAACACUAAUGCCACUUCAUGACAAUAGGUUUACCAUGCCUAUUCAUAUUCCAAGCUUAAUGCCGCUUUAUGACAUUAGCUUACUAAAUCCAUUCAUAUGCCGAGCCCAAUGCCACUUUAUGACAUUAGCUCAUUCCUAUGCCAAGCAUGAGUUCUAAGCCCAAGAGUGCAAUGUACUCAUCAUUUUCACUAAAUGAAAUAUGAUCCCAAACCAAGUAUAAGAAUGCUAACCAUAGGCCCUAAGCCGAACAUAAAAACUCUCUACUACAUAGAGAUCCCAUAUGUAUUGUAUAAUACAUGUGCAUUUUAAGCAUUCUAAAAUUCUCAAAUAUUCUAUCUAGUAUGAAUAUGCAUGCAUUUUCAUUUUACAAUGAAUAAAAACCAUCAUAGGAAAAAUUUAUCCCGUUUUGGUGAGGUCAAACCAAUCAAGUCUCCUCGCAAUCCUUCGUUUGUACCGACGAAGGUGUCCACAAGCCUCCUAGCUCCCUAAAGGUUAAACUAGGAGUGUUACACGAACGUUACGAACAACACAUAGGUUAAACAUUAACCAACUCAACAAAAGGGUCAAAACUCACCUAUAGUGUAGAAAAUCCCUCUCAAGCUCCAAAUGAGAGCUAGAACCCUUCCAAUCCCACCUAGGGGAAGAUUCUAAUCCAAUCAAUUGAGCUCCAAAAGCCCUAGUUCAAAAAUCCCCAAAUCACACCCUAAUUUCACAUAUCUAGGGUUUCAACAUGAAAUUCAUGAGAAUCAUGAUCAAAAGAGAAGUAGUAAGCAACUAACCUCUCAAGAAGCUCCCAAAUACCCAAGAGACCAGCUAGGGUUGAUGUUCUCUCCUCCCACGAGCUCUAACCACGAGCUCAAGGCUUCUCCAAUGGUGUAGGUUGUACCAAGAAGCAAAAGAGAGCAAAAAAAAAGGUUUAAACCUCAAAAUCCCCACAUGAAUUAAAGAAAAUCAAAGAUGAGGGAUAGAGGACUCCCUUACCUUCUCUUCCCUGCUUCCCAGCUCAGGGAACACCAAGAGGGGCGUGGGGUUAUUUGCAGUAUAGCUACAAUUCCAAAAAUACCCCCUAAAAACAUCUAGAUUGAAAUCUGGCAAAGUGUACCGGUACACGGGAAAGUGUAUCGGUACAAAACCCUGUACGCACAAACCCGAGGCUCGGGUUGGCUGAAAAAUCGCAUUUGUACUAGUACAAUCAUCAAGUGUAUCGGUACAAAAUCUGUUCUGGUACAACCAUCAAGGCUGUACCGGUACACAGCCCUGCUGAGGCAAAUCCGAGAGUAGACCAAAAAUCCGUCUUUUUGGGUUUUGGUGCAAAGUUUUAAACCUCCAUUCUCGGGAUGCGAGCCAUAGGUCGAAACACUGUCUACAACCCUACAAAAAAUGUGAAAAAGCUCGAAACACAAAUCAAACACUCAAACCUUGCAAUUUGUAAAAGUUCAGUGUGUUACAUUCUCCCCUCCUAAAAAGGAGUUUCGUCCGCGAAACUGUGGGUCAACCACGAAACAGACCCAUCUAAAGAGAAUGGAAGAAGCGCUCCAACAACACACCAAACAUACCAUGAAGGUCUCAAGCGUGCCGGAAUGCUCCACAGCAAAACACACAAGAUCCCGCGACGCCAAGGCUUUGGCAUAACACAAGCCAAACUUCCACAAAAGCUCCUCGAACCCAAGUCUUCACCGGAAAGUUCCAUCUCUAACCCGCGCUUGUUCAACAAGCCCAUCAGUUGGUCCUUACGAAUCCAAGUGCUCCCAAGGUUAAAUUCCAGUUCUCACUUUCCUCAUCUAAGUUGAGGGCAAAGCCUAGCUCUGCUUCGCUUUACUCUUAAAUAUAGAAUUCUAUCGUAUAUCCUCUUGAGGCGGAUUCAACGACGCUGUCCAUAGCAAGAAUCCGGGGUCACACCCGUUACCCAAUUCAUCAAAACUCCACCGAAGUACUCACAUGAUAUCAAUCACCAAAGAGAGGCGAUGCAACAUCCAAUCGCCAACUUAAUCCCAACGAUGAUCUCACAACUCAAAAUCAAAUCCCGUCACGAGAUUGCACAAUUGGGUGCCACUCUAUUCCAAAAUUAAGUAUGGUGUAAUUUCCACAUGGCUACCAUUCCAGCUUGCUUGGCACGAACGACUCUACAAUCAACAUCCACGGCAACAAUCCUUUUGAUAGCAACGGAAACCGACGAAUCAUCCAAAUUUGCUCAGUAUAUCAACUAUCCAGAUCCGAUCCGGUUCACGAACACCUUUAACUUUUUUGGGGCUAGAGAAGAGCAAUGCUACAUAUAUUUUCCCAAAGAAAUGUAUAUUUUACCAAAGUACUAUAUUACUUUCUUACCUUGUCAUUUUCUUAAUAUUAAUUUAUUUUAAAAAAAAAUUUAUGAGGUCUAAAAUUGCAAGUGCAAAAUAUUUAACACAUUUUGGUAGCUAAAGUACAUAUCUUUUAAAAGUAAUAUUAAAACGACAGAUCUUUUAAACGUAUUAUUAAUUAGGGCCAGUGAUAGAGAUAAGAUGUAGAAGUAUGAGAUAGGAGAGGAUAAGACUGGGGGAGAGAACUAUAAGUGGGCGUGCAUGAUGCACGAGAGUACGGACUUGGAGAGGGAAAGUGACUGCAGGCCGACCUUAUAGAUGUCGAUGGAGAAAAACGGACAAAAAUUCCAUGAACAUCCGUCUCCAAACUAUUUAGUUUGAAAAUAAUACGGGUGGACGUCGCACGGCAGAGAAGGGUAAGAUCUAUGCUUUUUCUUAAGGUGUCCAAACUAUCUGAUAUACUAUAUCCGAUCAGGAUACUAUUCGGACCCGAACCGAACCCGAUAAAAAAUGGAUAGUAUACGAGUAAAAAAAAUUACCUAUUAAAGUUUCAGGUAUGGGUCCGAAUAUUUUAUAUCCAUACUUGAUUUGGACCUGACCCGAACCAAACUUUUAAAUAGGUAGGGUACGGAAUAGUUUUCAAAUCAAAUCCGAAUCCGGACCUGAUGAAAUAUCUGAUAGUAAAUAAAAAAGAUUUGAACUUUUAAAGUUAAGGGAUCAAUUUUAAUAGGACUUAUAAAUGAUGGAUCUUUAAGUAUUUUCAUCCUAGUUGAACACUGAAACUCUAACCGCCUUUUUACUCAUUUCUUUUUUCUAAUUUUCUUUUUUACUUUUAUUUUUUACUCUUUAUUUUUUUUGUUUCAUUUUCGCCUAAGAGUUUUUUAUAAAACAAUAUUUCCAUCAGCGUCAUCGACAUCAAUUCUCUAUAGGUGUGCAUGAGUGUGUUUUUCCCAAAUCCCUUGUCCAAUUAUAGUCGACAAUCUACUUUUUUUUUUAAUGAAUAUUCUAUUUAGUAAAUUUUUUUAUUCCACUUUAUUUUUUUCCUUCUUUUUGAAUGUUAGUAUAUAAUAUUAAUAAUUACAACAAUCUAUAGAGUGUGCUUGGUUCGCUUCUUUUUCAUCUUGGAAUCGGAAUCGGAAUAGGUGAAUCCAUUUGUGGGUGUUUGGUACGUAGGAGUACCAUUUUGAUUCCGAUUUCCGAGUGGAAUGGGAAUCCCCCAAUCACCUCUGUUUUCAAUCCGGCCUAGGAGGCCGGAUUGAAAGUUGAAUCCAGACGGAAUGGAUAUUUAUUCGGAUUAAAUUUAUUUUUUUCAACUUUUUAAAUUAAAAUAUGAGUUAAACUUUAAAAAUUAAAUAUAUAAUUUUAAAUUUUAUUUUGAACUUAAAUUAAAAAUUAAAAUUUAAUCAAGUAUUUUGAAUCUAACUUAUUAAUUUGAAUUUAAAUUAAAUUUUAAUUUAUAUAAAGUUUUAUUCAAAUUUUAUUUCAAACUUAAAUUAAAUUUAUGGAUUCAAAUUAAAAUUUAAAUUGUAAUUUUAAGUUUGAAUUUGAAUAAAUCAAAAUUUAGUUUCAUAUUUUGAAUUAUCCACUCAACUUCAAAGUUUAAUUUUUUUUUAAAAAAAUAGAUUUAAAAUUUUGACAUUAUUUCUAAAUUUUGAUGUAAAUUUUUAAUAUUUAAUAUUUAAUUUGAAUUUAAAUUAAUAUAUUAUAAAGAUAAUAUUAGUAUAUUAAUUUGAUUACGUUUUUUAUAUUUAUCUGAACCAAACACCGACAAUAGGAAUGAUUUAUUUCGAUUCCAAUUCAGGUGAUAAACCAAACAGAAUUAGGUAAUGAGUCAUUCUGAUUCCGAUUCCAGCUUAUUUUGAUUCCAAUUUCGAUUCCGACUUCGAACUAAACACACCAUAUUCUCUUUGUCUGGGGAGAUUUAUAGUUUGUCCACAGGCUAUUUGAUAAAAUUUAUAAAAAAAAAAAUGUAUAUGGGUACCUGCAUUCGAUUUAGACCCGAUCCGUAUCCGGUUUUGAACGGGUAGUAUAUGGGUAAUCACUAUCCAGAGCUGCUCAAAUAGAUCUGACGAGUAUAUUAGUAACUUAAUUAAGUACCCAGAUCCGGACCCAACCCAAAAUUAAAUAGGUAGAGUAUAUAUAUNGUUCACGAACACCUUUAACUUUUUUGGGCCCGGAGAAGAGCAAUGCUAUAUAUAUUUUCCCAAGGAAAUGUAUAUUUUACCAAAGUACUAUAUUACUCUCUUAUCUUGUCGUUUUCUUAAUAUUAAUUUAUUUUUUAAAAAAAUUAUGAGGUCUAAAAUUGCAAGUGCAAAAUAUUUAACACGUUUUGGUAGCUAAAGUAUAGAUCUUUUAAAAGUAAUAUUAAAACGACAGAUCUUUUAAAUGUAUUAUUAAUUAGGGCCCGUGACAGAGAUAAGAUGUAAAAGUAUGAGAUAGGAGAGGAUAAGACUGGGGAAGAGAAUUAUGAGUGGGUGUGCAUGAUGCACGAGAGUACGGACUGGGAGAGGGAAAGUGAUUGCGAGCCGACCGUACAGAUGUCGAUGAAGAAAAAGGACAAAAAUUUUAUGAACAUCUGUCUCCAAACUAUUUAGUUUGAAAAUGAUACGGGCACGGCCCAUCCAAAGGACGGCCAUGAAAGGAGAAAAAAAUAUUUAUAACGUGUUUUGAGAGAGAGAGAGAGAGAGAGAGAGAGAGAGAGAGAGAACAACAGUGGAAGAGUACUGGAGGGCGUGUUGGAUGAGUCAUGCGGCGCUCAUCUACAUUGUUCCCAAUUUGGAAACAAUGUCUAUAAAAUUUUUGUUCCAACAAAAACACCUUUAAUUUGCCUAGGCAAGUUAAUUAAUUAAGCCAGUCAGAGCAGUGGUGAUUAAUUAUGCUGGUUGAGCAGUCCCAAGAGCAUCUCCAGAUAUAAAUUAUAGUCCCUCUCUGCAACUGAAGUUAUAAAUUAAUUACGAUGGAAUAAAAUAUCAAAACACAUGCAAAAAAAUUAAAUUCUAAGAUAUUUAAUUAUCAACAUGAGAAAAAAAAUUUUAUACUUUAAAGUUUUACCAAAUUAUGUGCAAUUAUACAAUUAGUUUUUACGGGUGAGUAGAGGAGUCCAUUAAAAUAUUAAUAAAAUUCAAAUGUCUUGCUUAUUAAAAUAAAAAGUUUAGAUGUUUAUUUAUCAAAGAUCUAAAUUUUACUAGGUAUAAAUAAAUUUCUUACAAAGAAAAUUAGAAACCGUGAAUUGGAGACAUGUCACCGACACGUAAUAGCGUUAGUACAAGACAUGUUUUUCAUGUUUUUUGUAGGAGAAAUGUAAGCCUCAAAUGUACAAGCCACCGACAAUUGUUAUUAACUUAUAUGUUUAUCAGUGUGUACGGAGGUCUCUCUCAUUAAAAUAAAGUAGAAAACGAAAGGGAAAAAAAAAAAACCUAAAUAAUUCUGAUACACUUAAUUUGGUGCAAGCAAAUUAAAUUGGGAAAUUAUUUUUGUACACCUAAAAGGGAUAUAAGUUUUAUAUUUUUCAUUUUAGGGCCCACAAAAAUUUGAUAAAUUAUUAUACAAAAAAAAUUAAUAUGAUAAGUAAAAAAAUAAUGACUCUUGAAUAAAAAAAAUAUAAAGUGCACACUCUAUUUAAAUUAUACUUAAAUAAUUGACGAUCCGGGCGCAUUAUCUAUAGCAUAUAAAGUAGAGUCAUAUUCUUAAUUAGAGUUCAACUCAAUCACUAAUUUCAACUACCAAUUCUCACUACAGAUAAAAUUGUAAUCCAUUUCUAAUUCGACUCUGAUUAGCAUUAUUUUUAACAGAAAAUACCCAAACUAUUUAUUACCCGGCUUGACAAUUUUAAUUGCAAUGUCAAUUUUUUUGUUUUUUUCAAUUCGUGCAUUUCGAGUUAGAAACUUAAUCCUAUUUUGCCUUUUUUGUCCUUUUCAUUUCUUUUUUGGUCUACCGAACUGUUGAGUCAGUUAGGCGCGAACAGCUGGCACACCGGGUCCAUAUCCGUAAGACGGCUAAGACAGUAGACCUAGAGUACACCGGACGCAUACAAGCUGCACUGGACCGAGGAGUUAUAACAACCGCAAGCUGUUACGAGCGGUUCCGAUCGGCCAAAGGUGGUCCUACGAAUCAGGAGACAGUGGCUGAUCGUGCAAGAGCAAUAACUGACGCAAAGACGGUUCUAUAAAUAGGCAUAUGAUACCCUGAAAAAGGGUCUUCGCCCCUGCGCACAAAAAAUCACCUUUAUUUUUCUACAUCUUUCUUUCCUGCAUUUACCACUUUUCGUAAGAGUAGUUCGCAUAACUUAAGCAUACUUGGAGUCUGUCUGCCCUACGGGCAUCACUCCGCUAUUCUUAUACGUUUGUUCAAUCGAAAGUCACGUUCGGCUAUUCAGGCCGACCAGAUCUCGUGUUGUUCUAGCCAUUCGGCUCAUCUCUCAGUCGAAUUCUGGGCUUCCCCUCUUCAUUCGACUCAUCCCGCUGAAGCGAAUUUACUGUGAAGGUUUUCGAACCCGGCUGAUUCGAUCCCUCAUCGGCCGAAUCGCUUGAUCCGUCGUGGGCGCAAACUUCGAGGGUCACCAUCCGCGGCCGCGCAUCAUUCCCGACGCUCUUCCCGAGGAGGAUUCUCGACCAGGUCAAGGGACGGGACUUUCGGCCGCCAAUAAUUUUUUGGCACGCCCGACGGGACUCAUUUUUUAAGGUAAAUCUGCAUUUUAUAUAAAGCAUGGCUGAUGAUAACGCCAUGAAUCUCCAUAAUAGGGCUAUUCCCAGAAAUUCUGGAAGUGAACAGCCCAGCAAUUCGGAGAAUAACCUAGAGCGCCAAGCGGUUUUACCUGCUGAGGGUGAGACUAGUGGUCAAUCUGGCCAACAGGAGCCUAGUUUGACCCAAGCGCUUGGCCAAAUGAUUCGGGUCCUACAAAUUUUGGACCAAAAUAGUCACGCAAGUACCGUACGGCUGGAUGCCGUUUUGGCCGCAAUCACGGCCUCUAACGAGAACAUAGUCCGAAUAGGGCAAUUGUUAGCUCGGAAUGAACAGCCGAUAGAAGGCCUACAAGCGCCUGUGAUAACGCCGGUGUUACAGAAUCCAGCAACGCCGGUGGUUGGUCAGCCCCAAUACCAGAGGGCACAGUAUCAAGCGGCUUAUAGACCGGUUGUUGGUAACGCCGGUCAACAGCCGAAAGUAACUUGGGGGUUACCUCCACCCCCUCCAGUUGCAGCCUACCAGCCCCAAAAUGUAGGGGCUAAGGGGCAAGCUUUGAAUGUACAAGGAAUUAAUCCCUUAGCACAAAAUCUCGGUGCACAACAACCACCGAACCCCGUACCAGCGCAAGUUCCUUUCCAAGGAAUUAAUAAUGAGAUAUAUGCGCAAAUAGAAGAGGCCAUCCGAAACACUUUCGGAGUAGGCACAAGGCCGGCAAUGCGGCCUGUAUUUAGAUCACCAUAUCCUGCAAAUAUAGAUGUAGAACACCCAUAUCCGGCAAAUUGGAAGAUGCCGAAAUUUGACAAAUUUUUCGGCGAUGAGACCGAAAAUACGGUCGAACACGUCGCUCGAUUUACAGCUCAAUGUCGCGAAGCAGCGGCGGAUCAUUUUCUAAAAUUAAGGUUAUUCAAUACUUCACUGAUCAAGACAGCCUUCAUAAUAGGUCGAAACUGUUUUUUUACUGUAUCUUUGAUGGAAAUCGUCCUUUUGGGUUCUUGUGGAAUUCUAUACUGUGAUCCUUCUCACUGUCUUUGUCCUUUGUACAGAAGGUUUUAGCUCAUCAUAAUAGGUUGAAAAUAUUUUCCCCCUAACUUUUGCUUGUAAGUUAGAAAUCUUACAACGGGGUUUUCUAAUAGCUAUUAAAAUAUUAUUUGUUUCCCUAAUUUUUGCCUAUAAAAAAUACUUACAGCGGGAAUUUUUUCUAAUCGUAUCUAAAUUGUGUAAUAUUAUACUGUCGUUGGAAAUUCCCGCGCCUGAACCAUUGUCUGGUGAUUCUGUAUUUUGUUGGAGUAGUGAUGAGAUAAAGAAGGGAAGAAGGAUCUGCUUGAACUAGGAUCCUCAGUAACUGUUCUUGGAGAUUCUAAUUUUGAAAGUAUCUGUGCUAUUAUUUGUUCUUAUAGCAUUAUUUUAUAUUAAUUAAUUAGAUAAUUUCUUAACUAAAUAUUUAACAAAAAUAAUUUACUAACUAAUUAAAAAGAUAAAUUAUUUUUUAUAAUUAAUUAAUUAAUGUAUUAAUUACCUAAUUAAUUAACUAAUAUUUAUAUAUAUUAAUUUACUAUUAUAUUCAUAGUUAAUAAAUUUAUUAAUUUAUUAAAUUAUUUUUAAUUAAUAUUUUAUGUUAAUUAAUUAUAUAUAAAAAAUUAUUAUUUUAAAAUUAUAAUUAUUCUUAUUCUCACUAUUCUAUUCUAGCUAUCCAAACGCUAUAUUUUUAAUAUUUCGAGAACCUAAUUUUCAUCCAAACGCAAAUUAAAUUAGUUUAAUUUCUAGUUAUAUCUAAAUUUAUAUCUAUCUUUGAAAUAAGCAAUUUUUAUAUAUACCGUAACCAAACAAAGCCUAAGGUUGCGUUUGGCACGGAGGAUAUCCUGGAACAAAAUGGGAUAUUCGCCAAUUUGUAGCCAAACACUAGCGGAACUUUGGGGAACGGGUUGUUCUGAUCAAAACAGGCUAUUCUGGGUUGUUCUGGAACAACUCGUUAAAAAUUGUUUCUAGAAAAACUCACAACAACUUUGUUCCUCUCUUUAUUUUAUUAGAUAAAUAGAUAAAUAAAUAAAUAUAUUAAUAUAAAUAUAUCUUUAUGAUAAUAUAUUAUACUUAAAUCUUAUUAUAUAAUAUAAAUUAAUUAAAUUUAAUAUAUUAUUUAUUUCAUUAAGUUUUAUUAUUUAUAUAUUAAUAUUCAAUUAUUUUUUAUAUUAAAUGUUAUAAAUAUAAAAUUAUUUUUUCAUAUUUUAUAUAUAUUUUAUCAUUUGUAUUGAAAUUUAUACUAUUAUUAAUUAAAAUUAUUAAGGUAUUGUUAGUAUUAUAUUUUAUUCAUUACAUAUAUUAUGAAUAAUUUAUAAAUAAUAAAUUAUUAUAUAUAAUAAAAUAAAUAUACUAUUUUAAAUUAAACUGUUACAUAAAAUAUUAUAUUAUAAAUUACAUUACGAAAUAAUUUUAUAAAUAAUUUUAUAUAAAAUAUACCAAUAUAAAUUAAUUAUUUUUAUUUUUAAAAAUAUAUUUAGAUCUUGUUCUUGACUUUUUAUCCAAACGCUAUUAAAGAAUAUUCUUUAGAAUAUCCACGAAUUAAUGCAUUCAAACACAAAUUUAUAAUUGUUCUAUUUUAUACCAGAAUAUGUUCUGUUCUCGAAAAUAAUAAAAUUUGUUCUCCAAAAUUUAGUUCUCCACCUAAACGCUGAACAGUCAAUAGAUCUGAAAAUCAGCUUAUGGUUAGGCAGCGCCAUUCUCCUCCAAGAAGCCGCUUCUCAUUGGCAACUACCAGACACCACUAUCUUAUUUAUUCCAAUGUGUGCAUAGCUUAUGGGAUAGAGCAAUAUAUCUAUCUCAGUUAGCUUUAUUUCCCGUCCUAAUCUCUAGUUGAGCUCAACCAAUUCUCCAUGAAGAUAGUAGUGGAGAGCUCGAGAAUCAUCAAGCCUGCUCACAAUGCUGAUCAUAUUCGUCCUCCACUUACGACCACUCAACACAUUCCACUGAGUGUGUUCGACAAGGUCACCUUCGACACACACGUCGCUGUCAUCUACGCAUUUCGCCCGCCGACUCCUCCCAACUCCGUGAUCGAGGAGGGGCUCGCGAAGGCGCUAGCAGAAUAUGGACAGUACGCUGGUAGGUUGGGGGAGGACUCCGAAGGCAACCGAGUAAUCCUCCUCAACGAUGAAGGAGUGCGGUUCGUCGAGGCCUCUAUCGACACCACCCUCAGCAAUGCCAUGCCCUUCAAGCCCUCUCCUUCUCUGCUGGACUUUCAUCCGAGUGCCGACGGUGUGGAGGAGCUGCUGUUGGUCCAGCUCACGAGGUUCACUUGCGGCUCUCUGGUUCUAGGUUUCUCGCUACACCACGUUAUCUCUGAUGGCCAUGCCACCAGCAACUUCUUGGUCUCGUGGGGCCUCGCAUCACGCGGACUUUCCAUCAGCCCCCUCCCGCUGCACGACCGCACCUCGCUCUUUGCCCCCCGUCAGCCGCCGCAGCUCGAGUUUGAGCAUCGUGGCGUGGAGUUCAAGAGCAAGAAGAUCAGUAGAGACAGCAAUACGGAGAACCCACUAAAGAAUGAGGUUGCCAUUCACAAGGCGCACUUUACUAAGGAGUUCCUCUCCAAGCUCAAGGCCACGGCGUCCGCAGGGAGAGACCAGCCAUAUAGCACGUUCCAAAGCUUGGUGGCUCAUUUAUGGAGGGUUGUGACGAAGGCGCGAGGCCUCAACGGUUGCGAGACCACCCACGUACGAAUUGCCGUGGACGGACGCAGGCGGAUGAUCCCAGCUGUGCCCGAUGGGUACUCGGGCAACCUAGUCCUUUGGGCCUUCCCGCGCGCCAACGUGCGGGAGCUGCUGAAUAGGCCGCUCCAGUAUGCUGCGGAUCUCAUCCGCACAGAAGUCGCCAAGAUGGAGGAUAGCUAUUUCAAGUCGUUUAUAGAUUUUUCGAGCUCUGGGGCGAUCGAGGAGGAGGAUCUGGUGCCGACUGCCGAUGCUGAUGAGAUGGUGCUGUGCCCUAACCUAGAGGUGGAUUGCUGGACAAGGUUUCCCUUCUACGACCUGGAUUUUGGUGGGGGUAGCCCGUACUACCUCGUACCGUCUUAUCUUCCUGUGGAGGGGCUGCUUAUACUCUUGCCAUCCUUCAUUGGAGACGGGAGCAUUGAUGCGUUUGUGCCCUUGUUCCAUCAUAACUUGGAUUCCUUCAAGCUUUGUUGCUAUUCCAUGGACUAGUCCAUCCUUCUUGCACACGUAUGUUUAAUUACGCGCUCUCUCUCUCUCUCUCUCUCUCUCUCUCUCUGAUAUUAAUCUGACCAACUACUUUGCUACAUGCAACAGGUUUACGUAGAUGUGCACGAAUUUUCAAGAACUAGUAAUGAGUCGUGAAGUUCAGGCGAAAGAAAAAAACAAAUGGAAUCUUGCAGUUGUAGUCGCCCAAUCUAAAACUUCUUCUGUGCCUAAAAUGCAUGUUUAAUUACGAGUAUGACCAUUUGAGACAUUCUUUUCCUUUUAAUUACGCUAGUUGUGCGUGAAAAAUAACUACCGCUACGUGUUAAAUAAAAAACAAAGAAAAUAAUCAAUUAUUAAACUCAAAGUAUAUAUAUGCAUUGGGUUUAUUUAAUUACAGUCUAUUUAUUUGAUGUUUCAUUUAAUUAUAUAUGUACGUGCCUGUAGGCACACUUGUGAUACUUGUAAUAAAUAAGAGAAAUGUUAUUUGUAGAAAUUAAGCCAUGUAUAUCUUACACCACUCUUUUCUAGAGUUUAGAUUACCUACUCUAGUUUUUCAUACUUAAAAAAUAGGGAAUAAUGAAAAUCAUAUGGAAAAAUUAUCCUUUCGAUAAUAUUCCAAGGUAUAUAACAAAAGGUUGAUCUUUUUCUCAAAGGCACUACUCAGCUUUUCUUUUUCUUUUUUUUUUCUUUUUUUUUUUUUUUUCAAUUCCCACACUGUAAGCAAUAAUCUAUAUUUUUAUAAAAAUUGUUAAAAAGUACAAAUAAAAAGUGACAGAGCAUAUAUGUAGUAACCGAGAAUAUUUUACGGUAAAUUUUUCUAAAGAGGGUGUUUUAUCACGCAUUUAGAAAGAAUUUUCGACGAAAUGAAAAGUACCACAUUCAUGGUCCAUCGGUGUUAGAAGUCUUAUAGUGGAAAUGGGUGCAAUUUGGCACGAUGUAGUGAUGUUUUGAAAAUGAAUUUGUAUAAGUGUAACUUCGCUGAAUUAGAGUAUUUAUGUGAAAAGUGCGUAAUUCCAUGUGUCAAGUUGAACAAUUUUUGAGGUGGAGAUACUUAUGAGCACACUACAAUAAAAUUAUCUUUUAGCGACAAUUUAAUAAUGACGAUUAUCAAACGAUCGCUAUUACUAUUAUUUUAUUACACUUUAGCAACAAUUAUUUUUAAAUAUAUAGUUUUAACCUACUAAUAUUUAUAUAUUAAAUAUAAUCCUAACCCAACCCACCGGAACCCAACCUGCGGCGACCUCAACCCACGUCUUCCUCCCCGCUCUCCUCGGCGCUCCCCAUCUCCUCCCCUCUCCGCAUGAUCGCCUCCGCCUCCACCAUUCCCAAACCCUACCUCCUCCUCCCCCUCUCGUCUCCCUCCUCCCCCUCUCGUCUCCCUCCUCCAAACCCUCCAUCUCCGUUCGCAACCUCAACGCAUUGCGCGCUCGGGAAACCCUAGAUCAAGUCGUAGAUCCCACGGUAGUAAGAUUUCUUACUGCGUUUUUCUUCUUCUUCUUUUUUUUUUGGUUUAAUGGAGAUCGCGGAAACUUCGAGUUGAUUGAUCGGUGUCGUGUCGAUUCUCCUAUUGAGGUCGAGGAGGGAUUCAGAGCUCUUAUGGCGUUGCCCGGUGAUGAAGUCGAUAAGGUAUUUGAAUCUUUGAUUCUGUUAGUUAAAUUGAGGUAGUGUUAAUUUGAAGUAAUUGUUCGAUUUUUUUUCUCUUUUUUUUGUGUUCUAUGAUGAAUUGCGUUGUGUGUUUCCUCUCUGAAUCAUGUACUCUCAGGAAAUAAUGCUUCAAAUUUAAAAAUUAAGAACCAUACAGAAGAAAUUUGUUAUUGUAUUGUCUAUAACGAUUUGUGUAGUGUUGAUAUAACAAUCGCCAUUCUCCACUUAAUGGUGCCCACGCUCUUUCGAAAGCAGGGUAGCUAUGAGAAAUGCCUCUACUAGUAGAUUUUUUUCUUCUUUUAAUGUUAUUUUUAGCUGUCAAAUGGUUGGCAGGACAUUGUAUUUGAUAUGGGAGAGAUGUCUUCUAUGUUUUUGCUUUUGUUUUCUCUUGUCAACGUGCAAUCUCCCUACCACUUAGUGUGGUUAGUGUUGUGGCAGUCAAAAUUGAACUAAUGUUACCAGCUGUUCCAUACAUUUCACUGAUGCAUAGGCAAAGUCUAAUUUGCGCUAUGGUUAUCACGUUGCAUGUGAUACAGAUAUAUUCUUUGUUUUGUGCAGGUGGUGAAGCCCGGAGACACUAUAUUCAUUGGGCAAUACUUGUUCACUGGCUGUGAAACUACUUCAGUAUGGUUGGAGGUAAGUGUGCUAGUAAAAUUUGCUGAUAUGUUUACAUUCUUUGCGGGCUGAGUUUUACUUGAUGUAAUAAUUAUUUACGUGUCUGACUCCACUAAAUAUAAACAUAUAAAUAUAGUGCCAACAUCUUUCAUCUAAUUAGCCAAAGCUUCAAACCGACUGAUCCUUUUUGCCAAAAAACUAACGAACUUACUUGGUAAGUAAUAUUAGGAUAAUUAGUUAUCUGAAUCUCAAAUAUCUUUCUAUCAUUAAGCAUUUAUUGUAUGUUUAAUUAUGUUUUUUUUCUUUUAUUGCAUCUACUGUGCCUGCUGCAAGUAGCUGAACUGAAAGAGGAUGAUGUGGUUUGCAUAAUCAAGAACUUUGCUACUCUGGCUGGAUCCCUAUUCACACUGCACAUUUCCCAAAUACACAUUAACUUGCCAACACUUUCUGAUUCUGACAAAGAUGUAAGAUUUGUUGCUGUUUUUGUUUUUUUCUCUUUCUAUUCUUUUCUUUUUUGCAUUAGAGCGCUUUUUUUUCCCCCUCCGAUUAGAAAUUUAGAACAUCUUCUAAACUUACUGGUUUCUUUUUGCAGCAAAUCAGAAGAGUUUGUUCUAUGUAUUUUCUUUCAUUCAGAAACAACUUUUUUCUAAUAUAAACAUUUUAAUCAUGCAAAUCAGUAUACAGAAAUUUUUGGAGGUCUGGCCAUUUCAGCCAAAAGGCUCAUUCCCUGCACCAAUAUCUGUGCACCAUACAGAAAUUUGCAACGGAUAUCAGUAUCCAAUAUCCGUUGCAAAUUACUCAUUCCCUGCUGUAGUCUGGCCAUUUCAGCCCUUAGAUCAUUGAUGAUUUCCCAAUCCUGCACCAAAAGAAGUUCGGUAUCAAAUACCCCUAAAUAAACCUGUAGCAAGGAACUAAAAGAUUACCACAGAAGAAAGUUCACAAGUUUUUAUCCUCUUGUUGAUUGUCAGGAAUUUAGAAUAUGCAGGAAAAGAUAUUUAGCACAGGAAAAGAUCUCCAUUUCAAAAAGUGACUAAUCAGAUGCCUGGCUAAUAAAUAUUUUGAACUUCUCUUGUAAUGUAAACUAGAGAAUAAACUUCUGCUGAACCCCUACCUAUAUAUUCAUUCAUAUGAGUGUCUAAAUUUUUUUUAGUGUUUUGUGGAAUUCAGACUAAAAAAAUCAUGGGGCUGUAUAUCAUGAAGUUGGGAAUUAGAAUCAGUUGGUUUUUUUUCGAUGAGUUUUGUAAGGAGGGUCAAGGCCUUCUUCUUAUUGGUAUGUUUGACUGGAUAGGUAGCAUUUGUAGUCUUAUUUGGACAGAAAUAGAUUGCUUUCUGAGCUUUGGAUUUAGCAAGCCCGCCCAGCAUUCUCUUAUGUAGCUAAUGUAAAAAUUUUGUUAUAUACCCAAAAAAAAAAUCUAAAGAGAUUUGUUACAUAUUCCUGUCAAUUGUCAUUUUUUGUGUUCUUAUUAUCAAUCUUAUAGUUGCCUCAGAUGUAUGUCCUUUUGUGCAAGUUUUGUAUUUUCCUUGUUGGGUUUCAAUUUGUUUUGGCAUAUUGCUGCUCUAACCAAUUUUACCCUCCUAGCUUUCCACUUUGCUAUCGGAUAUCGGACUGAAUAUUAGGGAGGCUCAUGUCUUUUCGACAACUGAUGGCUAUUCUCUGGAUGUAUUUGUUGUUGAUGGAUGGCCUAUUGAGGUAAUUUCUUUUUCAAGUCGUAUGAUAUUUCUUUGACAAACGCUAUCUGAGUUGCCUUAUGUGGUCUGUGUAGUACUAGAGGCAAGAGUUAUGCUUAGUCUUUAUGCUAUAGAAGCAUGUGAGGGAAAUUAUUGGCAUCAUGGUGUUAAAACAUCUUCAACUUAAAUCUGUAUUAAUCAUAUGUUUAUCUAUUGGAAGCAUUGUUUUGGAACUCAACAGUCAAUGAUCUUAACCUUAUACUGAAUAUGAAACUUAUGUGUGCUAAUAAAGUACUUGAAGUCAUAAUGAUGAGGUAGAUAUUGGAUAAGAAUAUCCCAUAUAUGCUGUUUAUACAGGAAUUGAAGUUUUCAUUACAUUAUUUUUAUAUUUUUUUAAAAGAAAGUUUUGUCAAUUUGCUUGUACUCCUGCAUCGUAUCUCACAAAGUCAAAAUGCAAUUUAAAAUGUUUUUGUUCCUCUAUAUCCUCUUCAUUCAUAUGUUGAUAUUUGAGGGACCUUAGUUUGUCUUCGCACAUCUACAGAAAAGAGACAAAGGGUAUGUCUUCCUAGAAGGUUUAGUCUCUUGAUUUAGAUUUAGUAUUAGAUUUUCCUCUUUGAACCAACUGCUUUUAUACCACGAAUUUUCCUGUUUGAAUCAAAUAUCAUAUUAUAAGCAAUAUUAUCAAGAUUUGUUUUCUUUAACAAUGAAUUCCACCUAAGAUUAUUGGAAGGGCUCCAACUUUUAUAAAUAUCGAAGACAGAGAUUGAGAUUAACUUGCCUGUGUUCUUACAAAAUUUGUGGCCUAUCUGAUUUAACAUUAAUAAUGUAUAAUAAUCAUGCUGUGUAAGAGCGUAACAAAAAAGCAUUUGCAGCUUUGCUAUUAUAUUUGUUGCAAUUGAAAACUAAUAUAUAAAAAUAGAAAGAUAUAUGGUAGAUAAAUUGAAAAGAAAGAACACAGUAAAGUAAACUAAUCUUAUUUAUGAGUAACUUCCAACUCCAACAUUUCCUGCCAAUAUUAAUUCCAUGGUAUAAUGUAUAAUCAUUAUCUGUAAGUUUUCUACCACAAAUCAACUGCUAAAAUAUGUAAAUUGAACAUUUUCUACAUGUUUUAUGUAAAAUAUUAAUUAGGCAAUAUACUUUAUAAUAAACAUGGCUUACAUAAUAUAAUGAGCUAUUCAAACGAUUCUAAUGUGUGGUACAAGAAAGAUGUUAGAAUGGUACCAACUGAUAGUUUCACAGAUACUUUAUGGUUUGAUACUCUCUUCGAGCAGUUUAAACGAUCUUUCAAUGUAAUUAAGAGUUUGAUACUCAUAUUGGAUAAUUUUAUAACAUUCUCAUUGCUUCGUAUGCAGCACAAGCAAGACAUUAGAACGAUAUCAACGUUGCUGUUACAAUUCUCAGGAUUCAAGUGCUAGUGAUCAUGAGACUCAGGUUGCUUUCUUGUUUCCUUUUAUUGUAUUUUAUUAAUUAUGAGUAAACUAUGGUAGCUAGUAUUUUUAUAUUUAGUGGCUAUUUAUUUUAUUUUUGUUGGCAUUUGUGAUUAAUAUUAGAUAUUUUAUGGGCAAAUGUACUUUACUUUUAGUGGCCUUUUUAAUUGCCGGUAUAGAGUAAUCUUUAGUGGCAAUUGUUUUGCUCUUUACCGGCUGCCAAUAUAAUUGCCGCUAAACUUUUAGCGACCCCAUCUAUAGUGGCAAUUAUUACAAUUGCCGGUAAAGAGAGUAGCGGCGAUUAAAAUCGCCGCUAAUCUAUGAGAUAAUUGCCGCUAAAAGGUAAUUUUGUUGUAGUGGCAAAACACACAUAUGGGUGAGUUCUGGGUUUGAAAUUGUGAUCCAUAUAGGAUAAAUUGCACUUUUUGUGUUUUGGGAGAAAGGGGCGCGCAAUGCACGAAGGGGUUAUCAUUUCAUAUGAGAAACUCAAAGUGGAAGGACUAAUGUGAAACUAGCCUCGAAGUGGAAUGCGUGGACUCAAGUUUCGCGAAACUCUGAGUUUCCUAUGGAAAUGGGCACACGAUUGAAGUUAGAGAAAACUGUUUGUGGGACCUCUUCGCAAAAGUGUCAUAUUUAAUGUGCUAAUGUGUGAAAUUUUCACUAUGGGAGGGACUUCUACACAAAAUGUGUAGUCCUGGGUUCUUGACCAGAGUCUAGGUGAGGGGUUUUAUUGAAAUUCCUACAAUGAGAGAUGCAAAUAUGGGUUUGUGUGUGUGUGUGUGUGUGCGCGCAACUUACACUAUGAUCUUGUGAUAAUUUCAAAAAAAAAGUUCAUUGCACAGAGUCUCUUGUGAAAUGUCAUAGCUUACUUCAAUCAAAAGAUACACAUUUAUUUAUAUGGAAUUAACAUGUACUAGUAGUUUGUAAAAAGCUAAAUGAAAAACAAGCAUUCUGUAUGUCCAUUGUUUUAUUACCAACCUUUCGAUUAAUAAGAAUUAGUAAUUUGUUAAUACUUUAGUAUUUGAUUACAUCAUUUAUAUUUGGUAUUCUAUAGGUUUUUUGCAUAGCCCUGUAUUCUGAAGUCUAUUUGCUAUGAAUCAAGUAGAAGAGUAAGUAGUUUAUAUGAACUAUAGUGCAUUUUGAAAUGGAUACUUUAAUUUUAAUAAUUUUGGUUUGACCAUAUUAUCUUAUAUUAUGUUUAAUCAUUUCAAUAUAGGAGGAUGGGAAUUGAUAAAAGCUGGAUGAGUCUUAGGAACCGAGCAUGUAAUGAGUAUGAAAAGGGCAUAGACAUAUUCUUAGAUUUGCAUUUAAAAGAUUGAAAAAUGUGAAAAGAAUUCGUUAUCCAUGCGCUAAAUGUUAUAAUGUCAGACUCAAAAGCCAAACAAAAGUGAAGUACGAUUUAUUUCGUAAUGGGAUUAUUCAAAGUUAUACUAAAUGGCAUCAUCAUGGUGAAUUGUCAGAUAAAUCAAGUAGUGAAAGUGAUGCAGAAGUUGUCAAUAUUCCUAUAGACCAAGGCUGUAGAAAUAUGGAGACAAUGCUUGAGGACUUAUUUGGGCAUGUAGCGAACUCCUCAAAUACUAACACAAGUGAUGGAGAGUGUACUAAUACUUGGUGUUCUGAUAAUACUUGGUGUUCUGAUAAGGCUCAAAAUGCUAUGGUAUAGCAACAUUCUUUUGUAGCACAACUCUACUAUAUUUUCUAUAUAUACAUGUAUUAGACUUGUGAAAUCUUAAAAAGAAAUUCAGUUUUAAUUAUAUAUUUCGUUUUAUAUGCUUAGACUUGUGAAGACGAACAUUUUUCUUCUAAAUACAAAUAUGUUUCAUAUUACUUUUGUAUCUCAUUGAAUGCAGAAACAAUUUGAGCAUGUAAGAAAAUCACAAGAAGAGUUAGGUGAUCCUAAAUUAUCAACGGAAGAACAUUUAACAAAGGCUUUUGGUGCACGCUCGUGAUAUCUUCGUGGUUUAGGAUGUGGACCUAAGUCAUUAAGUAGUAAAAAUUUGGAAGCUAAAACAUCAGAAGAGGCUAUUGAGAGACAGAAGAAUUGAAGAAUGAGCUAAAGCAAUCAAGAGAGGAGAAUGAAGAGUGAGAAGCACGCCUACAAAGGGAGAAAGAUGAGAGAGAGGAGAGGUUUAAAAAAGAAAUUGAAGAGAUUGAAGCACACAUUAAGGCACAGUUUAAAGCUGAAUUUAAUGAACAAUUAAAGAUAAUUGUUCAAUUAUAUAGAGCGCCGACCAUAUCAUCCUCUCCUUCCACUCAAAAUCAUUAGUAGAAUUUCUUAGUUGAAGGUAACUAUGUAUUCUAUCUCAUGUUAUUUUUUACUUUUUAUAUUUUUGUUCUUUAAAGUAAAACUCCAGGUGUGUUGACAAUUAUCUUUUGAUAUGCUUAAAUUUAGUUCUGCAGCUAAAAUUUGCCAAGUUUUUUGAAUUACUUUACUGAUUUUACUUUUACUUUGCAAUUAGUAUCAACCAUUUCUAGAUAUAAUGGCAUACUCUGCUCGAUAUUAUCCCAGGAGCUUCCUCACGUUCAACUUGUUGGUAGACAUUUUUGGAUGAUAAAUUAUAGGCAUGCAAUUUGCAUCUUUUUCAAGUGGGCUAUCAGACCUCUUUGGUGCAUUUGAAAUUCUUUAUUAUGACUUUCUUAUGUGGUAAUUCCAAAGUGUCACGUGACUCUUAGUUUGAAGACAAAAAGUGUAAUUUAUCCUGGUUAAAAAUUAAAUGUAACUAGCAAGUUGGUAAGUGAUUUGAAUGGAACGAAACAAUGUUUUCUUUAGAAAAGCGAACUCUUAUCCUUCUCAAGUUGUUAGCAACGUCAGGACAUUAGUGAGAUAGUGGGAGGACACCUAGCUACCUCAGUCGUAUAGCUUAGUUUAUUUUUCUAAUGAAUAAAGUAGUUAACGGACUACACAGCUAUUAAAAAAAAUUAAAUGUAAUAACUGCGGUCAUUAUUUUUAUCCACAAGUGACUUUCGAAAUCAAAAAGAUACAUCUAAAUAGCUAGUGCACAUUCUCUAUUAUCAUUUUCUAACUAUUCGGCUUAUGCUGAUUGUUUAAAUUGAUGGAACGUAUAUCGUAGAGAAUAGCAAUACCAAAAAUUAAAGUCCAAGUAAUAAAUAUAGCAUUUUAAAAUUUAAUAGCAUAUGAUGGACGAGGAGUACUGUGUUCAAUUAUAUUUUUAGAAUGGAUACUAUAUUUGAGUGUGGUCAAUUGUAUAUUUAGAAUGGAUGUUACAUUUGGUUUUCAAAGUCCUAAAAAUAGUCAUUAUGCUCCAUGCUGCGAUUGGAGGAUAACUCAAAGCUUGGACAAAAAAUACAAAAUCACUACAACAAAAACGAUCUAUAGCGACACUUUUAAAUAUCGAUACAGAUAAAAAAAAGUGCUACUGAUCAAAUUACCGACACUUUUAAAAAGUGUUGCUAUAUGUGGGGUCGUUAGGUAUAUAAUGACAGUUAAAGAGUGUCGCUAUAACCUAAAAAGAGUGCUGCUAAUUUACCAAUACUUAUUUAAGCAUUUAGCAACCGCCGAAACUCUAUUUUGUUGGCUGCGGUGGUGGAGGAGGGUGAGAGGGAAGGGCUCUUCGUCUAGAAUUUCAAUAGAUUGAGUAAGGGGAGAAGGGGAGAUGAUAAUCGAUUUUUUUUUUUUUUUUGUUUGUAAUCGGGCUGAAUGAGCUCUGUGGGGUGGGUUGAAUAGAGUAAUCUUUUAUUUUUGGUUGGAUUAAUCUUUAUAUUUAGGCAUUAGUAGAUUUUUUUUUUAAGUUUUGGUGUAAAUGGAAUACUUACAAAAAAAGUGUCCCAAACAUGUUAUAGUGACUUAACCAAAAAAAUCAAAUGAAAUAGUUGAUUGAACACUGGAAUUAGUAUCGAGAAAUAGCAAGGAAAGAACAUGCGUACAUGAUAUACAUGUACUCAAGAUUUGUACUACGUACGCAUUUAUUUGCAUGCGCCAUGCAUGGAGACCUUUUUAACGUUUACACACCAAAGGCAUACUCUCUCUGUCUCUCUCUCAAUAUAUAGGGAACAAAGAAACAACAACAAGUUUAAUCUAUUUUGUUGUCAAGUCAAUUAAUUUGUUCAGNAAAGGAAUCUCAAAGAGCAGAAGAAUUAGUAUUACACAAAUAAGAUCAGCAACAUCAGCAGAUCUAGAAACAUCAUCACCAUUUCUUGUACUUCUUCCUUUCCUCCUCCUAUCACAGCAGUGGCCGCUGUCUUAGUUUGCGAUGCUACAAACCACACAUGAUCAUGAUGAUUGCUCGCAUUGAGAGAAGAAACCCGCAAAGCGCCUUGCGAUCCCUCUUCAUCUCCACCUCCUCCUCCCUUGGAGCCUCUCGAGUUGCAGUUCCUCUCCAUUAUCUGUGACAAAUUAAUUUCCUAAAAUACAUGUCACAUGUUUCCUCAAUUUAAUUUCAAGAAGAAGAAAAAUAAAAUAAAGAAGAUACAAAUCUAUGAGAAAUAAAUCAAUUAAUCAAUCACCUUCGCUUCCAUUUUUUUUCACUAUCCCCUUGUCUGUAAAAAUAAAUAAUAAGUAAGAAAAAAAAUUUAUACAUCAAUUAUCAAACAUUACAAGGUAGAAUUUCCAAGAGAUUAGAAAGAAACAUAUAUGCAUGAGAUUAUGUACGAGGGUUUGUUGCUAUUUUCACCAUUGGAAGGCCGAACCGCAGGCGGAGUCGUCUUGAUCCGAAGAGUCGUCUUGAUCCGAUGUCGGGGCUCGGGGCUAGCUGUUAUCGCACCCCGUACCUUCGUAUCGCAUCCGGUGCUGUUGCGGCAGCUUUGGGGCUUUUCUCCUGGAGUUGAUCUUGGUAUCGCUCGUCGGAGCGCUAGUCCUAGCUCAUCGGCCGAGAGCUCGUCGCCGUGUUGGUCUGCGUGGCCAUAUAUCUAAAGAUCAACUCCAGGAGAAGUGUCCCGUGGCCACCACAACAGCAACGGGUGCGAUACAUAAGGAAGUGGGGAACGAGACGCAGCAUCGGCGGCCACCUCCUCCUCCUCCUCCCUCCGUUGAGAGCAAGAACCCCUCACACAUUUAUGCGUCUUCUUUUUUCUUGGUGAUAAUUAAUCAACACUGUUGGUGUAAUUUGGUGUGUGUAUUCUUACAUAGUCGGGUUUCGAGAGAUUCAGAAGAUGCCAUGCUGCUGAAGAGCAGAAGAAGAAAACUUGCAUGAACGAGAAAUUCAGAAGAUGCGUAGUCGGGUUAAUUUCUUGAAUUCAACAUAGGUUUUGAUAUCACGUUAUACCUUUUCAUUACGAUCUUUAAGCUUUGAGGUUAAUUAAUUGUUUCAUGCAUGGCUUCUCUUAUAAAGAUCUUGAUCUCUCCCGAAAAGAAAACAUGCAUGAACGAGGAGCUCCUCAUUAUUCCUUAUUCGCUUCUCUCUCUCUCUCUCUCUCUCUCUCUCUCUCUCUCUCUCUCUCGCGCGCGCGCGCGCCCCUUUUCUUUGGGUAGAAAUUGUAUCAAAGAACUCCAAAGGUUUCAAAGCAAUUAAGUAUUUAGUAGCAAUUCAAUUAAUCAAUUCAAGUAUUGUACUAGAUCAUAUACACUAAGUUGUUCUUUUAUUGCUCUUUUUGUUCUUCUAAAGCUUGAGGAUCCGUUCAAUUCUCUUUCUCUCUCUUGAUUAAGAAGAGACUGCUACCCAACGAGCGAGAGGUGGAGGAUAUAUGCUGUCCAUGUCAAGCACUCCGGCUCACGACGGCUCUUCGGAUCAUGAAGAGGGCUCCCGACGGCCACCGCCUGCGGCUCCGCUUUCCAACGGCGACAACCACGACAACAACGAACCCUCGUACGUAAUCCUAAGCAUACAUGUUUCUUUCUAAUCUCUUGGUAGUGCUAGCUAGUAAUGUUUGAUAAUAUAUAUAACUUUUUUCUUAUUUUUGUAUUUUUUUAGACAAGAGGAUAGUAAAGAAAUGGGAGCGAAGGUGAUUGAUUGAUCGAUUAAUUUCUCAUAGAUUUGUAUAUUCUUUCUUUUAUGUUUCUUUUUCUUGAAAUUAAAUUAAGGAAAUGUGAGAUCUGUAUUUUAGGAGAAUAUGUUGAAGAGAAUGGAGAGCGACUGCAAUUCGGGAGGCUCAGAUCGACAGAGGAGGUGGAGAUAAAGAGGGAUCACAAGGCGCUUUGCGUGGACGGGUUUUGUCUCCCAAUUCGAGCAAUCAUCAGUACCAAGUGCGGUUUGUAACAUCGUAAAUGUUGACAGCAUUUGCCACCGCGAAAGAAUAAGUAGAAAGAAAGGAAGAAGCAUACGAAAUGGUGAUAAUGUUUCUGUUGAUGUUGCUGAUGGUAUUGAGGUAGUACUAAUUCUGCUGCUCUUUGAGAUUUUCUUUUCUUUUUUAUUCUCUUCUUUUCUUUUUUUUUUGAGAGAGAGAGAGAGAGAGAGAGAGAGAGAGAGAGAGAGAAUGGCCUUGGUGUGUGAACGUGAAAAUGGUCACCGUGCAUGGCGCAUGCAAAUAAAUGCGUACGUAGUGUAAGUCUAGAGUGCAUAUCGUACACGCAUGCAUGUUCUUUCCUUGCUACGUAUCCAUAUUACAGUGUUCAAUCAACUGUUUCAUUUGAUUUUUUUUGGUUAACUUUUCUUUUUCCGGCCAAGCUUUUGUCAAAGUGAAGACAUGUUAAAAUAAUUAAAUUAAACCUGAACAAUUCUUAUAAUAAACACAUAUUUCAUUGGUAAUAAAAAAAAUAUUUAUUAUAGCAGUUGUGAAAGUGAGAGAGGUUUUAGUCAUAUUUUUUUUUUAAAUACAAGCUAGUAAUAUAGAUAUAUAGUUUUGAUAAUUUUACUAAAUUUGAAAGGUAUUUUUUAUGUUAAUAAUUUUGAGAGGAUAUUUAUGUAAUUAGGGGUAGCUGAAAGGGUCCCUAAUUAUCCACCCCUAAUAAUCUAUAAACUCUUAUAAAAAUCCAUGCCUUUUUGUAUACGUGGCGAUAUUAGCUUAAUUUUAGAAUUUUGUGGGACCUACCUAUCAUACUAAAUUACCUCCCUAGAUAUCGCUGGCUUUUCUAGAUGCCUCUCCAAAUUCUGAUACGUCCUCCCUACACAGAAAAUUGGACCAAGUUCAUUAUACUAAAUGUACCUCCCUAGAUGUCGCUCGCCUCCCUAGACGCCUCUCCAACUUCUGAUGCGUCCUCCCUAAACAGAAAAUUGGUCCAAGUUCAUUGUCGGUUAUUUUUUCCAUCGCACCUUUUUUUGUUAGCAACACUUCGUUCCUGCCUAUUAAUCCCCCUUUGGUUGCAAAAAAGGUUCGGAUUCAUUCUUUAUGCUCUCUUUGACUCCUCGAAUAUUUAUAUUUGUUGAAUCCGAAAGGUCAUUUUACGAUGAAUGCGAUUUUUUUUUACCCUCCCUAGAUACCGUCCGCCUCCCUAGAUGCCUAUCCAACUCCUGAUGCAUCCUCCCUAGACAGAAAAUUGGGCCAAGUUUAUUGUUGGUCCUUUUUCCCGCCGCGCCAUUUUUGUUAGCAACGCUUCGUCCUGCCGAUUAAUCCUACUUCGGUUGCAAAAAUAGUUCAGAUUCAUUCUCUAUGCUCUCUUCGACUCCUCAUAUGUAUUUGUUGAAUCCGAAGGGUCCUUUGACGUUGAAUGCAAUUUUUUUUUGCCUAUAUAAUAUGCCUCUAUGAAAUUUUUAUUUUCGGCAAAAAAUUUCUAUUUCUCUGCCAGUGCUAUUUUCUUUUCUAAUUUGGUAUCCACCUUUCAUUUUUUGUUUGAAUUUGAAUUUGAAUAUGACUACUUAUUUCUUAAAAAAAAAUUGAAUAAUUUUACUGUCUCAGAAAAUUGACUAUCUGUGUACAGUUGAUCCUUGCUUGAUUGUCUCAAAUUUUCUUAGUUCUCUGAUUUAAUUUUUAUGUAUAUAUAAUUUAUUUUUGCCUUCCAAUUUGUUGUUGUGAAUAAUUUAGAUUUUUUUUUUUUUCCGAUUUGAUCGUAAUGCUAUUAUAUAUAAUAUAAUCUAAUUUGGUUGCCAAUUUAGAAAUAUUUUUACAAUAAUUAUUUUAUUUUUUUUGUGCUAAUCAUAAUGUUUUUAUAUAUGAUUUUUUUUGCAAAAAAAUUUAUAUAUNAUAUACACAUAUAUAUAUAUAUAUAUAUAUAUAUAUAUAUAUAUAUAUAUAUAUAUAUAUAUAUAUGUAUAUAUAGAGUUGAGCUAGAAUACUUCUAAAAGUAUCAAGAGGGUGGUGCUUGUGAGUUUUUAACCCUUGGAUAGAGAAAUGUAGGGUUGGGAUGAUGGUGGUAGGUGGUGGUAGGUGGAAUAGUGUUUGAUCCAAGGGCUAUUAGUAAUCAAGGAGUAGAUCUAAGGGCUAAAAACCUAAUGGCACCAAAGGGGUGAUACUUGUAAAAGUAUUCUAGCUCAAUUAUAUAUAUAUAUAUAUAUAUAUAUGAUGGCAAUUGCGAAAUAAUUGCAACCAAUGUAUGCACUAACUAAUUUUCAUUAUUUUUUUCAUUUGUUUGUUGAAUAUUUUAUUUUUUCAAUUAUUGUGAUGGUAUUAUUUUACUAUUUCUGUUUAAAAUUAUUU
rnacentral:lncRNA from 1 species